AAUUAAAAUUUGAUUUUGCUAUUUAAUAUUUCAACUUGUUUGAUCCGCUUCGUUUAUUUUUUUAAAAAUAAACUUAGCUAAAAAUAUGAAUCAACUAGAGUUCAAACUUGAGACCUCGGUACCAACCACCAAAUUCUUUGCCACUUGUGCUAGGGGGACCACGGGUACCAAUCAUCAAAUUCUUUGCCACUUGUGCUAGGAAUUGUUGGUAAUAAUAUUUGGACUUUAAAAAUUAGAAUAUGUAGUUUAUCAAUUUAGAUUUAGUUACUAUAUUUUAUGCAACUCUCAAAACUAUAAAUUUAUUAAAAUAAAUAAAUAAUUUAAAUUCAAGAGUUAAAAUAUGUUUAAUUGAUUUAAAUCAAAUAAAUUGAAAGGUUUGAUAGUAAAACUAAUAUUUUUAAUUAAAUCAAAUAAAUUGAAAGGUUUGAUAGUAAAAUUAAAAUUUUUAAAAAUUAAAUAGUCAAAUCCGAAUGAUCUUUAUAUAUUUAGGAUAUAAGUUUUAUACGCUGUUAUCAAAAAGAAAAAUACUUUUGGUAUAUUCAAAAAGAGGUGUAGAUCUUACUCUUCAUCCUAGAAUUAAUAAAAACUUAAAUAAUUUUUAGUAAAAAAUAAAAAAUAAUAAUAUAACAAAUAGAAUAGUUUUGAAAUAAAAUGGAGAUAAGACAUACACUAAGGCCCCGUUUGGAUACUUCUAAAAACGUAACAUAGUUAAACUAUGCUACGCCGGUAGGAAAAUAAUCCUAUGAAGCGUUUGGAAGAAAAAAAAAUAAUAACGUAAUUUUUGGAGUAUAGUUAUACUAUACUCCAAAAAAUGGAGUAAACUUACAAGGAAAAAAUUUCACCAUUUUGGGCUCCCAAAGAUGUAUCAAUUUUUAAAGUUUAAAUUUCAACAUAAAAUUUUAAAUUUCAAAAUUUAAAAUUUUAAAAUUCAAUUUUAAUUUUGACUUUAAAUUUUAAAUUUUAAAUUUCAAAUUUCAAAAAGUUCAAAUAUCAAAUUUCAAAUUUUAAAUUUCAAAUUUCAAAUUUCAACUUUCAAAUUUCAAAUUUCAAAUUUCAAAUUUCAAAAAUUUCAAAUUUCAAAUUUCAAAUUUCAAAAAGUUCAAAUUUCAAAUUUCAAAUUUCAAAUUUUAAUUUUAUUUUUAAUUUUUAAUUUUCAAUCUUCAAAAUUUAAAUUUAAACUUAAAUUUAAAAUUUUAAAUUUAUAAAUAUGUAAAUUUAUAAAUUAUUAAAUUUGAAAUUUAAAAUUUUAAUUAUAGAUUUUUUAAAUUUCAAAAUUUAAAGUUUAAAUGGUAUACUUUACAUUUUAUUUUUUAAAGUUUCAAAUUUCAAAUUUUAAAUUUCAAAUUCCAAAUUUCAAAUUUCAAAUUUAAAACAUAAAAUCUAAUUUAAUUUUUUAAUUUUAAAUUUUAAAUUUUAAUUUUAUAUUUUGAAUUUUGAAUUUUAAUUUUUAAAAUUUUAUUUUUAAAUUUUGAAUUUUGAAUUUUGAAUUUUGAAUUUUGAAUUUUAAAAUUUUAGAAAUUUAAUUAUUAUAAAUAUUGUGGAAUUGUAUGAUCUGUAUCUAAACAGCUUAAAAAUGAAGCUGUGGAAUUUUUUUUAUAGUUAUAAAAUUUCGUAUUUUCUUUAGACCAAAAUCAUAGAAUAAAAAUUUCAUGAUGUUUUUUAACUAUACAUUCAAACAGGGCAUAAACUUUGGAGUGUAAGUGUAGCAUUUGCUCAACCAAGAAUGGCAGCAGGCACCGAGGCCAAUCAGCUCUGAUCCCCCGUCCCCGCCUGCAGUCUGCCGUCCAAAUGCUGGGCCGCCUCCAUCUCCGCCUCCGACCCCUCGGCCGCCUCUCCUCCCUCCAACCCCCCUUCCCUCCUCCGCUGCUCCUCCCCACCACCGCCGCCGCCGCCCACACCACUCCCACAUCCCCUGCAAACCGCCCCACUCUUUCACCAGCUUGUAAACAACCAUCUCCGACUACCCUUCUCCUCCUCCACCAGUCCACGAAUCGAAGAGCAGGAAAAGGAGGAGAAGGAAGCUUCUGCACAAAUCGAGCUGCUGUGGACGCCGCGGCGGACGUCUCCGCUCCCUUCUACUCCGCCCACAUUCGUUGCCGCAAACGAGAUGCCGUGGGUGCUCCCCUCACUCACUCCCCCUUUCCCUCUCCCCUUCCUUCUUUAGCAGCAUCACGUAGGUGUUGGAUAUAAAUAUUAAAAGUCUAAAUUACAGAAAAUCCCUAUGUAUAUACAUGCCUUUUCACUUUUUGUCGACUUUAAAAAACCUACAUUUUACUUCUUUAAAAUUUCAGAAAUAUUUUCAGGAGAGUACAGCGUUAAUGGAGAGGGCAAAAUGUUCAAAUUGCCAUACUUUUCACGUGAGAAAUUUUUUUUUUAAUAUUUCUGUUAUUUGAAGAAUAUUUUCGGUAUAAAUUAUAAGAAACAUACAAAAUAGUGAUGGAACUCUGACGGAAGAGGGCUAAAUGCAAUAACUUGAAAUGUUGAGGGGGUAACAUGUAGGGUUUUGAAAGUUAGGAAGAAAAAGUGAAAAAAGGGAUAUUUAUAAAAAGGUUUUCUAUAAUUUAGCCAUAUUAAAAAUACUAUUAUCCGGUAGCUUAAGCUUCUGAAAAAUAAUGGUUAUUUCGUAUUGUUUAAGCUGCUAGGGAAUGGUGAUAAUCUUCGAACCCCUGCGCAAGUGGCAGAUAUAACGUGAACUUGCCACAUGCAUUAACUGAAAAGAUAAUGUAAAUGAUAACAAAAAUGGCGGAUGUUUGUUACUGUAAAUAUCCAAAAAUUGAUCUAGUAGGAAAUUGCUCAGAAUUAAUCUUCACAUAAAUGAACUUACCAAACUAAUCUAAGGAGGGAAAAUGCUAUAGUUGAAUUAUCAAAAUAGAUAGAAAUGAGUAGCUUCCUAUAAUGGGAAAAAAAAACCUCAUCCUUGCAAUGCCAAAAGAAGGAAGCUAUACUGUUACAAUUUACGAUUCUUAUAACUCUUCUUGUUUCAUAUUGGAUAUUAGAUUUCUGUUUUGGAGAUUACAGUGGAUUUAUUUAUCUAUUUAUCAAGAAUCGUGGGCAUACGAUUAUUCGAUUCUCAAAUGUUGUGAAAGAGAUUGUGUUCAUAAUAGCAAAAUCGCAUUCCUAUGAGAAGAAAUGGUGUUUUUGUUCCUAUUGAAUUUGCCGCCCUCAUUUCUCGUAAUAUCUUCUUUUGAAAUACGUUGCUAAAUUAUAAUUGGAUAUCAUAUCUAUUAUCUGGCAAAAUGCUUUUCUGUCUAAUUGCCUUCAGUUCUUAGUGAUCAUCUCGACGUUAAUAAUUUCGGAAAAUUCGUUAGCUAAUUAAUGUGUAUUUUGUUAUCUGUGCAUGAAAAGUGGAUAGCUCAAAAUGCCUUUUCUGUGAUUUCGGAGUUGUUCAGAAAAAAUGGGAAAACUCUGCUUUUCAGAAUAAUCAAUUCAAUUAAUGAUUUCUUGUGCUUUGUUUGUUCAGUUUUAAGAGAAAAGACAGAUUUUGUGCAUUUACUUGUCCAUUGUUUAGACACUAACACAAACAAUAUAGUGCAGGAGGCUCUAUCAGAAGCUCUUAUGUGCUUUGGUGCAAAUUGUAUUAGCAUGGAUGAAUUAAGUGAUCAUGGAGAUCAUGAUGAAGUGAGCCAUUAAAUUCCUUAUCUUCUUUUGUGGUUAAAAUUCUGUAAUAUCUUCUUCUUGUAUUGAGUUGUCAAAUAUGGAUAUGUUUUGCGUGCCACACCGUUGAUUCUCUUUACUCUUCCAUGAACUUACAGUUAUAUUGGUAAUUUAUAUAGCUAAUAGUAUCUGACCAAUUCUGAGGAUCAAGUCUCAAGGUGCUUGUUAGACGACUGGGGAGUGCUGGUUAAAAUGAUAUCACUCUUACUUAGAGAUGAUUCUGAAGGGACAAACUAACAAGUUUACAGCUAGAGUAAGUUUAUUAAAUGUUAUGCUGACCAAUUUUAUUGCUGAGUAAGCAAGCAACCCUACUCACAAGUAGCAUGCUAUCGUGAAGUCUAAGAAUGCAAUGUGACUAGCAAAACCAAACAGUUGGACAUGAUUGUCGAUGCUUGUAAUUGAAAGAGAGCUUCAUGGGAGGAAGUUUCUUGAGCCUAUUUCUCUAAUUGCUGUCUAUUGGGACAGAAACUGUGCUUAGAGUUACUAAAGUUGUGCCACAAAAUCAGGAAGAAUCACAUGGUGAAUAUAUGACAUUUGAGUCCACGUGGUAUACUAAAGUGAAAACGUGAUGGAUAAGUUAUUUCUAAAUGAUGUAACCUGGUCAAGGUAAAUGAUGAAAUUGACAUAUUAAAGAUAAAAAUAGCCAUUUUUAACCUAUAUAUCUCAGUUUAAGCAGUUGAUUCAUUAGUUCCAAUAAAAAAUCAAUUUGACGAUGUAUCUCAACGAAAUGUAGGUUGACUAUCUUAAUACUAACAAAUAAAAUUGCCAAAACAGUAUAAUUUUGAAAUUCAUCCUGUAAAAAAGAAUGCACGUAUAGAACCCGACAUAAGUUUAAAGAUCUAUACAAACAAUGCUAAAGAGGGAUGCAUUAUUUAUUUAGGACUUCUGGACAGCAAAUAGGUUGAUCAAAGGGAUGUAGUUCAGUUGGGUAUCCGCAGAAUUGCUGUCUAACAGAGCUGUUCAAAGAAGCAGAAAUAUUUUCAUUAAAAUCCUCCUGAGAGUCUCCUGCUGGAGGAAACGUAACACUUGCAAUUGGGCCUUCUCCUUUAGGGACCCAAAACUUCAUGUCAGCUUUGAGCCAUAGCACAAAUUCUAGAUAUUUGCCUGGAUUUUGGAGUCAUUUGCUUUCUAGAGUAGAGAAGCUGCUUCAGAAGCAAUUCAUGAGAACAAACAGGUGCAUGCUUUAGUACUUGUUUGGACUUGGAGCAUGCACUGGAACAAACGUUUUUUGGUAUAAGCAAUUCAUUUGUCGGACAUAAUCCAAACAAGUACUAAAGCAUGCACUGGAACAAACCAAAACAGUUAUAAGCAAUUCAUUUGUCGGACAAUAAACUCCAGAAGCUGCUCCUGAGAUGUAUUGAAGAAGAUUGGUAUAGGUAGCAAACAGACAAUGAUUUGCCACGGGAGAGGGCAUAGAUGCACUCUUAUAGGGUUUAUGGAGCAAGGACUGCGAAGUAAGAGCUGAAUAAAUUUGCCUAUUUCCAGGUAUACCAAUAUGUCAAUAAUUAUGAUAAAUAGUAAUUUUGAGUUAAAGUUGAGAAAGCUAAACAUAACUACACCGUUUGCAUGGAUUUGCAAGAGCUGUUUAUGAUUGCCUGUGUAUUGGGUUGGAGUUGUCCUAAAUCAGUAUUUCUUUUUGUGAACUUGUUACUUUGCUGUCAUUUUUGAGAAUAAUUUAGGUAAAAAUUUAUGGAAUUUACCUGAACUAUGGACCAUUUGGAUUUGGCUACCCAACCUUUCAAAAAUUUGAUUUCACUCUCCAACCUUUCAAUUUAUUUGAUUUGAGUUAGUCAACAUUACUUUGACUCCAAAAUUUAAGCUAAUUACUUACUUUAAUAAACUUAUAGCUGUGAGGAUUGUAUGAAAUAUACUAACUAAAUCUGUAAAGAGAAAAACCCAUUCAAAUUUUUAAGUCAAAGUGCCAUUGACUGACUCAAAUUAAUAAAUUAAAAGGUUGGGUAGUAAAAUCAAAAUUUUGAAAGAUUGGGUAGCUAAAUCCAAAUAGUUCAUAGUUCAGAUAAGUUUCAUGCAUUUUUUUUUCCAAUAAUUUAGUAUUUAUAUGCAAUGCCUUCUGCAGAUCUGCCUAACUUCAAUUUUUCCGGAUGGACAAGAUGUGAGCGCAUGUAUCUCGAAUGCUGCAAGUUCCGUUGGUUUGGAUUAUGUACCGAAUUAUGAAGUCUCAAUGGGUAAGCAGUGUGAUUGGGUGACAAAUGCACAGGUUAAUUCUCCACCGUCAGUCGAGCUCUUAAUUUGUGCAAUUCUACUGUUCCUCUUAGUCUCCUUCGAGAAAACUCUAUUUUAUCUGAUAGGAUUUUCUUUUGGUUUUUCAUAAAAUAGAAACAUUACAAUUACUUUGGCGUUGUAAGCCAUAAGUUCUUUAUUUCUCUUUCUGAACCUUAUUAAAGAAGUCGGAGUAAAUAACAGUUAAUAUCAGUUUGAAUAUGGAGUGCAAUGCUUCUCAGAUUUCUGUUAUCAUCGCGACAAUCAAUAGUAGCUAGUUUGAUAACUGUAAUUGUUAACUAUGGAAUUCUUGUCUACUGUGUGAUAGAGAAGUCCCUAAACACUGGUUUAACGUAGAUAUCAUUUACGCUGUUUAGCUCACAGAAAUUGAUUUUAAUCAACUAAUACAGGGAAGUGCACCCUGUUUUAUUACUUUGGCCACAGUGUUGGAGAACAAUUACUAGAAUUUUUUGUUGUACUCUUGGGAUUAUGUAAUUACGGAGAAUUGUGUUGUUUUAGUUUUGAACUGUUUCUUCAAUGACCUUUUAAUUUAGUAAAGGCUGUUUGUAUUUGCCGCACAGCAUUUUUGUAGUCAAACCAUUUAAUAACAUUUGCUACUUAAUAUAAUUGGCAAUUUAGAACAUGGCACAUUUGGACAACUACCGGAAACCCAGGAAAUAUGUAAUAUUCGGAAAGUAGACGCUGCAAUAGUUCUUACGCAAUGUUGGUUCUUUCUAUUGAUUCUUUGUAAUAUCCUGUUGAUUCUUUGUAAUAUCCUGUUGAUUAAAUUUACUGUCUCAUGGGAUAAUCUUUGAUACUGGAAGGGGACAACAUCUCUCGUUAUGUCUACUACAGGAAUCUUUUCAUCCAAUUGAGGUUAUCGAUGGUCUCUGGAUUGUCCCCAAGUGGAGGGAUCCCCCUGUAUGUUCACACACAAUUUCUUUCUGCUCUCUCGACAGACAUACACAAAUAACAUUUUAGAUUGAUUUUUAUCGCUAUACAUAGCACUGCAUGAUGCUUUGCUGGUUCUUAAAUCUAGUUUAUAUGUGUUACUAUUUGGUGCUUAACUUAUUGUUGGCCACAUAUUGUGUAUAUAAUUAAAUAAUUAUAUAAUAUAUUAUCUAAAACAAUUUCAUGCUGUAGAUCAUUAAUUGCUAGAUGUUCUGAGCUACACUAGGAGCAGAUUGUAAACUAAUAUAUCUAUGUUGUUUUUAUAGGACUUGCAUACUGUUGUAAGAUGGAACUUUCAUGAAAUACCUUUCUCGAAGGUUCUAUUAUAUAUUGAUUUUGUAUGGCACUACAUCUCAUCAUAUGCGUUCUUCCUCCUCUUUCUGCAUGUUUAGAAAUUUCUUCACUACGUUUAGCGUUCCAGGCACUGAAAACAAAAUCUUAGUUAAAGUAUAGGAAAACUAAGAACAUAUUUGCACCUUAAUAAAAGGAAAUUAAGGUAUUGUAGCAUCCAAGUAUAAGACCGAUCAAACCAAAGAUCCAGGCAAUUACAAGUUAUUUCAUUUUCUGUACUGACCGGACGGUUGCAUCUCACUCUGCGAUCUAUGAAUUUGUUUACAUGAUAAUAAAGUAUGAUUAUGAUAUAAAAUCAACUGAUUUCUGGGCAUUUUGCUCCUUUGCGAUCAUUAGUAAGUCAGAAUUUUAAAAUUUUGUAAAUACAGAAAUAAGGAAUACUUUUACUUUGCUUUGAGAUUACAACGUUGCAAUAUUCGUAUAUGUAGUGUGCAAAGCAGCACCGGAUCACGGCCUAUCUUGCCUUUGCACAUUUAAUGGAAUUUUACCCUACUUGGAUGGAUAAAACAUUGAUUAGAAAUAUAAUUUAAUCGUCUAUGAAUUAAAUUGAUUGAAAUUCUGUUAUUUGUCGAAUCUGCCAGGACCCACGGGCAACAAAUAUUCUUCUGAAUCCAGGGUUGGCUUUUGGGACUGGGGAGCAUCCUACUACCAAGUUGUGUUUGUUGCUGCUACAUGAAGCCAUAAAAGGUGGAGAGCACUUUUUUGACUAUGGUACAGGCUCCGGAGUAUUAGGAAUUGCAGCACUGAAGGUUUCUUUUAUUGUUCUAGCUUUUCUCUCUCCUAUUCCUUUUCCCUUUUCCUUAAUGAGAUCAAACCAACAGAUUUUAGUUAGCCAUGAGUUCUUUUCUAACUAAUUUCUUCUUUUUUACAUAUUCAUAUAAUCGUGGAAUGAAUAAUAGUCCAAAGUUGUUUGCUAAACUUUUUUUCUUUUGCUGGCUUGUGUCUUUAAUUCUAGUGUCCCAAAAUUCUUAUGUAACAAAUAACGAAAAAGUAACUUUUGUCCAAAAUUGAAAUGUUAUAUUACUUUCAUUUUGGAUAAAAGCUACAUUGUUUGUCGCAAGCUAAUAUCGAUUCAUUCAAGUAGAGCAUUGAAUUCUCACGUGUCAUUUUGUUCCUUUAUUGUAGAUGGGGGCUGCAAUGUCUGUAGGGAUAGAUAUAGAGCCCCAGGCUGUGACUUCUGCACGAGAAAAUCUUUCCCUAAAUGGAAUUGAAUCUAGCAAAAUGUCAGUUUACUUGGUUCCGAGCAAAGUCAACUCACCAAAUAUUGAAUCUGCAAAGGCGAAAUUCGACAUUGUCAUAGCCAAUAUACUUAUGAAUCCUCUAAUGGAACUGGCUGAAGAUAUUGUUUCUUAUGGAAAGCCAGAAGCCGUCGUUGGUGUCUCGGGAAUUUUGUGUGAGCAGGUACUCCUAUUUAACAUCACUUCCAUGAGAUUGCCUUGUCUGCCAUUAUUGAUGCCCCACAUAUACAUGAAGCUACUCUCAUAGCACCAGCGCUUCGUUCCUUAAGACUCAUUUUAGAUGAUAGGACAUUUGAAUUGACAAGGCAAUCCAUUGGACAUGACAAAAGAGUAUUUGGAAAUCUCUUUGAACAAAAUCUCUAUGCAUGUAUGCAUUAUCUAUUUAUCACCUAAUUUUCUCUAUCGAACACAUGUAUGUAGGUCUAUGCAUGUACGCAUUAUCUAUUUAUCACCUAAUUUUUGUUUAGAAUCUUGCUUACCAUGAGUGCUACUCUAUCGCGCUGUCAUACUUGUAUGAAAUGUCGAUAAUUUGGUGUUUUUAUUGCAUUUCCCAACUAAUUAGCCCUGCUGGAGCAGGUUCUGCAGAUUAAAGAAGUUUACUCACAGUACUUGGAUAAUAUAUGGGUCUCCGAAAUGGAAGGUUGGGCAUGUCUCCGUGGGACGAAAAAGAGGAUCUGACACCGUGUUUGUUCAAAGCAGAUUCACCUCACAAUCAUAAUUUCAGCCGAAUUGAAGAAUUCAAUCUAACCUUCUCGCAGAACUUGGUUCUGUUUUUGUUGUAUUAUGAUUCUACUGUAGACUAGUAGUAUCUGUACAGAGGUGUAGCUGCAAUAACUAAUUUUGUUUCAGAAUGAGGACAAUUAGAUUCUAAAUGCAUUCUGUUAAGGGUUCAGUACAGUUUCACUUAGAAUCCCCAAAAUUUUACGGAAAGAGAAAAGAGCGAGAAAAACCAUACCUGCGGGGCUGGUUUACUUUUUAGAUUUCAAACGUAAAAUCUAAUUGACAUCAGCUUUGAAAAUCUGAACCAUUCACUAACAACAAUGUAUCAUUUGUGUUUUUGUAAGUAAUAACCUAUUGUGGUGUUUCUUAUGACUUCAUUUAAACUAGAAAAAACUUCAAAUACCACCAUUGUGGUUUCAUAUUUUUUUCAUCUUAAUAUUCUGUGGUUUAAAGUGCAUUAAUUUAGUACCCUGUGUUUUCGUACUUUCUCACUUUAGUAUCUUAUGGUUUAAAAUGCAUCAAUUUAGUACUAUGUGGUUUCAUUUUUCUCUUUUUGUCGGCUCCUCUGUUAAUAUUUCGUUAAAUUAUAUACAAAAAUACUUUAGAUAUCCUACCUAGGUUUAUCGAAUAUUUAUUUUAGUAUUCUUUAGUUUUAACUUUGUCACUAAUUUUUUUUUUCCUUAUCGAAUAUUUACUUUAGUAUCAUUUAGUUUUAAUUUUGUCACUAAUUUUUUUUUUCCUCCGUUAAUAUUUCAUUAAAUUAUAUACAAAAAAUUUUAGAUACCUUACUUAGGUUUAUAGAAUAUUCACUUUACCCUUUAGUUUUAAUUUUGUUACUGAUUUUUUUUUCCUCCGUUAAUAUUUCAUUAAAUUAUAUAUAAAAAACUUUAGGUACCCUACUUAGGUUUAUCAAAUAUUCACUUUAGUAUCUUUUAGUUUUAACUUUGUCACUGAUUUAACUAAAAAAAUUAAUAAAAUGGAUAAUAAAAAAAAAAUAAAAUUACAGGGUAUUAACUUGAUACACUUUAAACUAUAGAAUACUAAAGCGAAAAAGUAUGAAAUCACAGGGGUAUUUGAAGUUUACCCUUUAAACUAUGACUCCACAGUUUCAUUGGAAAACAGCACAGCAUUUUUAAUACCAAAUAGGCCCUAGUCAAAAUGCUGCGGUGAAACCACGUAGAGAUAGGACUACAGAAAUUAUAUUUUAAUCAAACUUGUGCUGUCUGCACAAGUACUUUGGCGCAUUAGUGAAAUAUUUUAAUCAAACUAGGGCUGGGGGCAGGCUCCGAAUGUACAAGGGAUUAACCCUGUGGUACAAAAUUUCGGACUACCACAAGGACCGAAUAUAGCAUAAGCACAAGAGCAAGUUCCCGCGCAAGGGAACAAUAAUGAAAUAUAUGCACAGAUCGAAAAAGUCAUCCGAAAUACUUUAGGAGUAGGUGUAAGGCCUGCAAUGCGGUCUGUAUUUAGAUCACCUUAUCAUGCAAAUAUAGACGCAGAGCAUCCAUACCCGGCAAAUUGGAAAAUGUCGAAAUUUGACAAAUUUUUCGGUGAUGAGACCGAAAACACGGUCGAACAUGUUGCACGGUUUACAGCACAAUGCCAGGAAGUUGCGGCAGAUCCAUUUUUAAAAUUGAGAUUAUUUAACACUUCGUUAACCAAGACAGCUUUCACUUGGUAUACAAGUCUAUAGGCUAAUUCUAUCCAAGAUUGGGACGAAUUAGAAAGAAAAUUCCAUGAGCAAUUCUAUAGGUCGGAACCACAAUUAUUGGUCGCCGACUUGGUUUUAUACCGACAAAAGUCAGGUGAAACGGUGGAAGAGUAUUUGAACCGUUUUAAAAUAGCCAAAAUCCGGUGUUUUAUGAGAAUGCCGAAAUCAGAGUUCGCCAAAAUGGCAUUAAAUGGUCUACAUUUUAAGAUAAAAGACCAUUUUGAAGAUAAAUAUUUUUCUAAUAUAUUUGAUCUAGGUGUUAGAGUUGCCCAAUAUGAGUAAUUCCUUAAGAAAAGUGAGGACAAUUGGCUGCAAUGGAGCCGAUAUAAAAAUCAAAGCAAAGGCAAGGAGAAAUUCUUGCUAGAAGAACAGUCGGUUCAAAAAGAGCCGAGCCAAUCAAGUAAAAGUGAAGAAUCGGCUGAUAAAGCCGAGGUAUAUGCGGCUGGUAAAGAGCUACUUUCUUCAAGGAGAAAUCCUUGAUAGAAGAACAGUCGGUUCAAAAACAAGUGAAAGUGAAGAAUCGGUUGAUGAAGCCGAGGUAUAUGCCGCCGGUAAAGAACUACUUUCUUCAAGGAGAAAUCCUUGAUAGAAGAACAUUCGGUUCAAGAAGAGCCAAACCAAUCAAGUAAAAGUAAAGAAUCGGAUGAUGAAGUCGAGGUAUACGUGGCUGGGAUGAUAAAGCGCCGUUUUUUUAAAGCCGACCAAGACCAGCGAAACUAAAGCUUGGGUCUCAGCUGUGCCAUUGAACAGUCGAUUUGGCACUAAUAGUCAUCCGAAUGUUCAUUCGAAAGACUAUUGGGGGGGCAUUGUUGAUGCCAAAAUUAAAAUUAACACGCCGACCUAACCUACGUAUGAGCUAAAGAAAAAAAAACACGUGGUACACUAGGAGUCGACAAUAAGGCGCCUGAAGGUCAAGAGCGUUUAGGCGGGAACGGUUGAGAAGUGGGGCGUAACAUCCAUAUGAAGUGGGGCGUAACUUCCAUGAGAAGUGGGGCAUAACUUUCAUAUGAAGUGGGGCGUAACUUUCAUAAGAAGUAGGGCGUAACUUCCAUGAUCAUGGCUACACCACUUCCUCCACUACGAUAACUAACCAAUAAUGUGGGUUGAUAAGAUAUUAUAAAUAGUAACUUUGAAGUCUGUAAUAGAGGUCUUUCUCUUCCCUGAACGAGAAGACCAUCGCAUUUUCAAUACUUUUCUUUCCUACAUUUAUCGCUUUUUAGGAGUAGUCUAUAUGUAAUCUUUUUUACUCGCAUUUAUUGCUUUCCUAGGAGUAGUUUUUAAGUUAGAUCUCUGGAAUCUGUAUGCCCCACGGGCACACUCUGUUAUAAUCUAGAUUUUCAGAGUCUAUAUGCCAUUCGGGCACAAUUUGUUUUGUAUGAGUUCUCAAUUUCAUUUUAAUAUAUAAAGGCAUUCGGUUCUUUCAGCCGACCAGUUGUUGUGUGCUUCAUCUAUUCGGCUCUUCGACCGACCUAAGUCUUUGUGUAGUCCGUACAUUCGGCUCGUCCAGCCGAACUGACUCUACAGUAGAAAGUUUCGAACUCGGCUGAUCCGAUCUCUCAUCAGCCGAAUCGCUUGAUCCAGUUGAAAAGCGCAAACUUCGAGGGUCACUAUUCGUAGCCGUUCCGCAUCCCUACACAUUCCUCGAGGAAGAUCUUUGACCGGGUCAAGGAUCAAAAAAUUCGACUCCCAACAAUACCUAAUGCAUUUUUUCUGCCAGUGUAUAUAUUGCAAUAAGUCAAUUAAGAUAUAUUUUUUUAUGGUAUUGUCGGAAAAUAAAAAAGCUUAUCUUUAUCUUCUUUGGUGAUUUUGCACCAACUUUUCUCCCACUACCAAGCGAGCCCUUGGGGCUAAUUUGAAAAAUUAAUUAAUUUAUCAAAAUCCACAAGUGAUAUUUUUAAAUUGUAUUGAAAAAUCUGUAAUAGUUUUUAAAUAUAAAUAUAUUUUAAGAAUAUAGAGACAUUUUCAGAAUAAAAUGAGGCAAACCUCGGUUCAUAGUAUAGAGUAUAAAUAUGGCAAUGAAAUCAAUACAAAUUGCAUGUCAUAUUAUUAUCUUUUGAAAAAAGUAAUUCUUUUUUUAUUUCCGUUUUACAAAAAGUAAUAAAACUAUAUUUUUUUAGAACAAUACUACCUACGGACUCCUUCAGUGUAAAUUUUAAAUGUUUUUUUGCAUUUGGUCCCAUGAAAAAAAUUUAUUUUAAAAAUAACCCCAACAAAUUUAUUUUUAUAAAAAUGACUAUUUCCUCCCCACACAGGCGCCAUAUCAGCGCCAUAGUUUUAAGUUGAACACGGUAAAUCAUUCACCGUGUUCAAAUAUGGUGAAUGAUUUACCAUAUUCCAUACCUACAUUCCCCUCCUUUCCUUUUUUCAAUAUUUAUAUAUUUUUUCUAGAUACGGUGAACCGUUCACCGUGUUCAACUUAACAAACUGGCCCCAACCUAGGUCACGUGACGUUGACGUGGUGCCUACGUGGCAGGGUUAGGGUCAUUUUUGCAAAUAUAAAUUUGCUGAGGCUAUUUUUAAAAUAAAUUUUUUCUAAGGGCCAAAUGCAAAAAAAAACCUCUAAAUUUUAUACUUUAUUUAUUCAAAAGCCACUACCUCUCUACUUGUCUUAUCAAUUACUAUUUUUACAUUAAAAUCUAAAAGGUCUAUUUGGUGGCGAUAUUUUUUAAGGUUUCAUUUGGUUUGGGAUUAAAUAAGAAUUAGUUAUUCCAUAAAUAGGUAUAAGUUUAGGGUUAAGUAUGGAAUAGAUCAAUUUUACGUUUGGAUGAAAAUUGAGUUGUUUUCGGAAAUUAAAAAAAUAGCGUUUGGAUAGAUAAGAUGAAAUAAGAAGAAUAAUAGGCAGAUAUAAAUAGAAAAUAAUAAUAGUGGCCCUUUUAUUUAAAUUUAAAAUUUUAAAUUUUAUAUUUAAACAAAUUUAAAUACAUAACUUUAAAAAUUGAAAUAUUUAAAAUCUCAAAUUCAAAGAUUUAAAGUUCUAUAUUAUAAAUUUAAGAUUAUAUUUAAAUUUAAAAAAUAUAAAAUAUCAAAUUUUAAAUUUUAAAAAUUAAAAAUAAUAAUUUAAAAUUAAAAUUAAAAUUUAAAAAUUAAAUAGAUGUGUGAUUAGCUAAUUCUAUUAUUAUUCCAAAGGGGGUGGGAUUAGCUAGCCUCACCUUAUAAAAGAGUGUUUGGGGCAUCUAAGAUAAUUGGGAAUGAUGCAUCGAAAUUGUGAAAUCUCAAAUUUAUUUGGUCACAAAUAUCUGAUGCAGCAAAGAUAAAAUUUUUUGUGAAAUCUUAUAAUAAUCUCUUGAAAUGUGGGCUUGAUAAAUUUAUUUUUGCAUUAUAAUCCUUAUAGAAUUUAAAAACCAACAUUCUCGCUUGAUAAUUUUUUUUUCAAAUAUUUAAAUUAAAAAGACUAAAAUAUCCUUACACAAUUUUUAUAUCUAUCUUAAAAGUUUAAAUUGAGUGCAAGAGACAAAUAAACUUAUGAAUUCCAUUAAUUCAGGAAUAUUUAAAUAGAUUUUAUAUUCAAAUAUUUACUAUUUUUAUACAAUUAAUUUGGUGUAAAGUAAUAUAUAAUAAUGGGUAACUUCAAAUACCACCUCUGUGGUUUCGCACUUUCUCACUUUAGUACUCAGUGGUUUAAUGUGUAUCAAGUUAGUGUUCUGUGGUUUCAUUUUUAUUUUUUUGUCAGCUUUUUUAUUAAUAUUUCGUUAAAUUAUAUAAAAAAAUUUCAAAUAUCUCAUCUAGAUUUAUCGAAUAUUCACUUUAGUAUGUUUUAGCUUUAACUCUAUCAUUGAUUUAAUGAAAAAUUAGUAGAAUCAAUAAUACAAAUAUAAAAAUAAAACCACAUGCCACUAAAUUGAUAUAUUUUAAACAACAGAUUACUAAAGUGAGAAAGUAUAAAAUAACGGAAGUGGCAUUUGAAGUUUUUCCUAUAAUAUAAGUCACUUUUAUUGUUGCAAAAUUUGUGUUGGUGUUUGGAUCAAAGAUAAAAAUAAUAUAUUCCUUAAAAAGCAAAAUUUUUAGUUAAAAAAAUUUAAAUCUGAUCAACCAAACAGGCCCAAAGAGGUGUUCUGAACCCUAAAAUAGAAGAAGGGUUUUUUUUGCAAAUAGCCCCCUGAUAAAUUUUAUUUGCAGAAAUAGCCCCGUUCAAAAAUUAUUUGCAAAAAUGGCCCUGCCCCUGCCACACCAGCGCCACGUCAGCGCCACGUGGGCAGGGCGGGUCCAGGUGUUUAAGUUGAACACGGUGAACCAUUCAUCGUGUUCAAUACAAAAUUUUUGUAUUGGAUACGGUGAAUGGUUCACCGUGUCCAAUACAAAUACCCCAACAAUGAGUAAGUUGGAGGUAUUUGUAUUAGACACGGUGAAUCAUUCACCGUGUCCAAUUAUUUGUAUUGGACACGGUGAAUCAUUCACCGUGUCCAAUACAAAAACUUUGUAUUGAACACGGUGAAUGGUUCACCGUGUUCAACUUAACCAUCUGGCCCAGCCCCGCCCGCGUGGCGCUGACUUGACGCUUGCGUGGCGGUGGCAGGGCCAUUUUUGCAAAUAAAUUUUUGACAGGGCCAAUUUUAAAAAAAAAAAUUAUAAGGGGGCUAUUUGCAAAAAAAGCCGAAUGGUAAGAUUUACACUUUUUUUUCUAUUUUCUCUCUCUCUCGCUCACCUUUUGCCCUCAAACAGAUUAAGUAUUGAGAAGUAUUAAGAUCUUCUUUUUCCGCCCAUCCCUGACCACCAUUCUUGAGGUAAAUUUUUUUUAACAAAAGAAAUUUGUGAAAAAAAUUAGAUUAUUUUUUCUUUCUUGUGUGUACAUGGUUUCUUGCUUACUUUCCCGUCAUUUUUCUCUGUUGCAUUUGUUCUAAUUUCUACAUUCGUAAAAUUUCGCAAAUACGAGUUCUUGUUUCUAAAACUAGAAAAAGAACUCGUAUGGGUUGUCGGGUAGAGCAGAAAUAGAACCCUUCUUCUGCUUUUAGGGCACAAAAAAUCUCAACUUCUUACCACAGCAGGCUUUUCGUUUGCCAAAUAUCUGAAAGUUGCUUUCUGGGAGUAGAAAAGGAAUUUUUUUUAUAAAUAAUCCUACCAAUUUUUAUAAUUAUAAAAAUAGUUUUUUUUUUUAAAUAAUUGUAAAAAUAGACCUCUAACAUAUCAAAUUGAGAUAUUGAAAAAAUAAAUAAUAUAGGCGGUGAAUGAGUCACCGUAUUUAAAUGCGCUCCUUCUAAAACUGUUGUAGAGAUAUAGAAAGGCGUAGAAAAAGGAAAAAAACUUCACCGCAUUCAUAAUUCCUCCUAAAACUGUUGUAGAGAUGUAGAAAUGCGUACAAAAAAAAAAAAAAAACGGUGAAUGAUUUACCUUUUUUAAAAGCGGUGAACCAUUCACCGCUUUUAUAGGACCGUAAAAAAUUUAAUGAAUGAGGUGAAUUAUUUACCGCUUUCAGUUUCUCUCUCAGCCAUAAGACUAUAUUUACAAAUAAAAAUUUAACAGGUCUAAAUUUAGAAUAAAAUUUUGGGAGAAGACUGCUGCACUAAAAUCUCCGUAGAAAAGCCAUGCCAGAAGAAGCCCUGCUUCUGCUUUUUGGGAGUAGCAAGCAGUAAUUCAUUCACCCCAUAGGACUAGUUUUGUAAAUAAUUUUUUAUGGAACUAUUUUUAUUAUAAUAUUCGUUAACCCUAUUAAUAAAAAAAAAAAUUCGUUUAGAUCCUAGUAACUAUGGUUUCGGUGUUCUUUUUUGCUUCUAUUUUUUUUUCAAGUUGUAGUCACUUGCGGUAAAGCAUUUGGCAAAAUAAACCACCUAGCGCUUCAGUUGUAUCGGAAAACUAAAAUAAGAUUCUUCUGCUUCAAAGAGAAGUUGUUGGUGAAAUUUUUAUAUAGUACUUUUCCACAUAACUGUAUUUGAACAGCACUUGUAUUGUAGUACUUCUCCUAAUAGCUCUAUUUGAAUAGCACUUCAUUGAAAAAUGCUACAUCCUAUAGGAGGACAGGUAAAUGAUGCAUAAACGGAAUGCUCACUUAUAGUGAAAAAAAUAACCAAAUUAGAGUCGUCUUAAAAGAAAUUCGCAUUGUCUCACUGUGAUUUAAUCUUCUCGAUGCAAGUCUUUUAUGUUGACCUCGAUUCUUCAUAUAGUUUUACAUUUGCAUACUUCUGCUGAGAAGAUAAAUUUUGACAAAUUUGUUCCAUGGCUUGUUAUAUUUCAAACUUUUAGUUGAAAAUUCUUGAAUAGGAAAUAGAAGAAAAAGAAUGGUACCUUUUUAGGGAAGCAAAUGAUAUUUUCAAAUGGCUUGAGUGGUUAGAUGUAAUGCCCUCUGAAUAAUUAAUUAUUUGGAUUGUAGCUGUCUCAGCCUCUUUGAUCCCAACCAUGUGCAGCCUAACCAUAAGCAGCUUGAGGUGGGAAUGAUUGUUAUGUUUUGUUUUUAAGGAAAAUAUUGAAUUGCACUGUUUUAAAUUGUUCCAAAUGUGAAAAUUGUAGCCAAACAAAGAUUAGCAUCGAACCAGAUUGAGCCAAUCUAAAUAGUUGCCUUUCUGUUCUUUUUACCGCUUCACCCUUUUAGCUCAGCAGUUUUAUGGCACGGCCCUAUUGGUAAGCUAUGUACUACCUGCCUCUUGUAUGUUACAUGACAUAGGUUCUAGAGUCAUUUUUUGGUAAUUAGAUGCUUGUUCCGAAACAUCAAUUGCAAUUGCCACAAGGUUUCUUUCAUCAGUUUUACUAUCAAAAGGAGGCAGAUGAAAUUCUUGUUAUUCCAGGUAAGUAUUAAAACAUCAUAUAGAGAUCUGAACUACAUCAAGUGUGGACUAUAAUAAUAAAAACCGCAAUCAUGGUAAAUUAAUUCUAAAUGCAAGCCUAGGCCCUCGCUUUACGCAAAUGACUCCUUCAAGUGUCUGUUCUUUGACCAGCUUCAAGUAUCCACGUUAUAAAAAAAAAUCUAGGUUGGUCCACCAUCAAUGUCUGCUAAGUGGAAAAAUUGUUGUUGUGAUAUGAUGUCUGCUGUGAUGCAGAAUAGCUAGGAUGAUUUUUCAUGAAUAUUUUUAUCUUCCUAUGCAGUUUCAUGUGACGUAUGAUUCAUAUAAUUUACAAUUUUUUUUUUUUUUAUCAUGAACAUCUUGUAUCUUUCUGCUGUUUCAGCUACUUGGGCUAUAAACUAAACAAGCUAACAACCUAUUACGAUCUCUUAUUAAGCAUCACAUGGAUUUGGGAACUGGGGAUCCACUGUUACCAGAUCAAAACGGCCAACUUAAAAGACCACUACUACGUAAGGUAACAUGCAAUUGUAAGUUAUAUCCGGUAUCUCUAUUACUUCUGGCAGUCGAAGUAAACUGAAAGACAUCUCUCACCGUUGUGCAGGGAAAAGCUAUGCUGCAAAUAUCCCAGCGAACAACAAAGCUGAACAAAUGGGUGUUGAAUGAAAAGCAGAAACAAUUGGUAUCUAUAACUGGACUAGGAAAUCUUAUGCAUUGUACGGGAUUCAUUGUUGAUCGGUUUUUGCUCUCAGCAUUCUGUGAGUGGUGGAAUAGCAAAACUAACACUGCACACUUUCAUGGCUUCGAGAUGGCCCCAUCGCUUCGAGAUGUUUCUUACAUUCUAGGCAUCCCUGUCACUGGACAAGCAGUAACGGGAGAACCUCCUGGUCCCAAUGCGGCCAGAAGACUAUGCUUACAAUAUUUAGGGAAGGACCCUGGGGUGUGGAAUGGUAAAUAUGGCUUAAUUAGACUUACUUGGUUGUUCAAUGAAUUCCAUGAAUUACCUGAGAAUCCAACCAUCGACGAGAUUGAGUAUAGCACAAGAGCUUACCUGCUAUACUUGAUUGGAUCCACUUUGUUUACAAGUCUAACAAACGGAUUUGUUUCACCAAGGUAUUUGCCACUUUUGGGGGACAUUGAGAAUAUUCAUCGGUAUGCGUGGGGUGCUGCCGCAUUAGCUCAUUUGUAUCAAGGUUUAUCCACUGCAGUAAAUCCCGAUGCCACCAAGUUUUUAUCUGGCAGUGCUACAUUGCUUAUGGUAAGAUUUGUCAAUGACACCUUUAAUGGCAAAAACUUUUUGCGUAGCAUAAAUUUUCUUUUAGGUUUGGCUGAUCGAUGGAUGUUUUUCUGUUUCUUCUCGUGUAAAGUCUUGGAUAUAUGAGUAUUUACCAGUAACACGUCGCGAGGUGAAGAACCAAGACUUCUCUGCUUUUCCGCGUGCCUGCAGGUGGAAAUUUAGUAGGGGGAACUGUGGUGUAAGAAAGAGUGUUUCGGCUUUCAGAGGAGAUUUUAAUUUGCUUCAAUUAUCAGAGGUAAGUUAAAAUUUGAAGUUGUAGUUAUGUGUAUAUAUAUCCCUGCUAACUUACCUGUUUACAAAUCCCUAUAUAUCCGAAACCUUUCUAGUACAAAACCGAUGUCUCCAGUGAACUCAGCGAAUCCCCGAGUUAAGGAUAUUUUGAUGGAAACUGAACUUUUCGAAUGUUAUAUUUAGAAAAAUUGAGAUCUUAUGUGGGAAAUAUAUAUAUAUAUAUAUAUAUAUAUAUAUAUAUAUAUAUAUAGAGAGAGAGAGAGAGAGAGAGAGAGAGAGAGAGAGAGAGAGAGUAGGGCUGCUGUGCUCUUAGGAGCACGGAGGCCUCCAUGCUCCUGAGCCGCUUUCGAUGAUGGAAUUUUUGAAUUGACGAUCGGCUCCGUUAGAUUUAAUCUAGCGUAUUUGAAGUUUCUAGAAAAUAAGUUUUGCGAUUUUUUGAUAUCAUUUACCUAGUGAUCGAAAGGAUUCAAAAUCAAUAAUUUUUAAUGGUUGAUAUCUGCCGUUUUCAAGUUUAACGGCAUAGAAGUAUUCAAAUCACAUGAAAUUUUGAUACAAAAUUCUUUAUAAUAUAUACAGCAAGAUCAAUAUUUCUGAUCGAAAAUUUUAGUGCUAUAUCACCACUUUUUAUAGGAUUUUUAUUUUUAGCCGUUAAAAUUAUUGAUUUUGAAUCCUUUCGAUUACUAGGUAAUGAUAUCGAAAAAUCGCAAAAAUUAUUUUCUAAAAACUUCAAAUACGCUAGAUCAAGUCUAACGGAGCCGAUCGUCGAUUCGGAAAUUCUAUCAUCGAAAACGGCUCAGGAGCACGGAGGCCGCCGUGCUCCUAAGAGCACAGCAGUCCUACUCUAUAUAUAUAUAUAUAUAUCUAUAUUAUAGUAUAGAAUUGAUUAGAAUACUUUUAGAACACCAAGAGUUGAUUAAACACUAUUCACCUCACAUCUACCACCUACCACUCACCUCUCCUUGAUUACUAAUUACCCUUGAUAAACACUAUUCCACCUACCACCACCUACCACCACCUACCACCAUCCAUCCCACACCUUACACUCUCUCCCACCAUGCUAAAAACCAAAGCACCACCAUCUUAGAUGCUUUUGAAGUAUUCUAAGUCUCACUGCUCUCUCUCUCUCUCAAGUCACCAGAACUCGUCUUCGCCUCGCUCCUCUCUAAUAAUAUAUAUAUAAUAUAGUAUAUAUAGUAUGAUAUGUUUAUAUUAGAGAGAGAGAGAGAGAGAUCGAGAGAGAGAGAGAGAAGAGCUAGGCUGGUGUACUAUCAGUAGCACGGAGGCCUCCGUGCUACUAAAUUGUUUUCAAUGAUACGACUUCCAAAUCUACGAUCGGCUCCGUUAAGUUGAUCUACACUAUUGAAACUAUUUGGAAACUAAAUUUCAUUAUUUGUCGACAUCAUUUGGCUAGUGAUAAAAAAGUCUCAAGAAUUAACAAUUUAAUGGUAGAUGUGAUGCGUUUGGAAUUUAACCGGUUAAAACAAUCACCAAAUCUAAUGAAAUUUUUUAUAGAAAUUUUUUUCACUAUUUAGAGUAAGACCAGUACCUCUGAUUAAAUUCAAGUCUUUUAUCAUCAUUUUUAUGAGAUUUUUAUUUUCAGCCGUCAUUUUAGACUACCGUUUGAAUAGGUAAAUGACGUUGAAAAUUAUGAAAUUCAGUUUUCAAAUAUUUUUUAAUAGUGUAGAUCAAAGUCUAACGGAGCCCGAUUGUCAAUUGGAAGCCGCAACAUUGAAAACAAUUUGGUAGCACGGAGGUCUCCGUGCUACGAGAUAUAUAACCAGCCUUAUAAUAUAUAUAAUAUAAUAUAUAUAUAUUAUAUAUAUAUAUAUAUGGAUUAGAGAAGAGAGAGUUAAGCUAUAUAUAUAGAUAUAUGAUAUAUAUAUAUAUAUAAGAGAAGAGAGAGAGAGAGAGAAGAGAGAGAAGAGAAGAGAGAGAGAGGAAGAGAGAGAAUAGAGCUACUAUGCUAUCGAAAGCAUAGAGGAUUAUGCUUCUGACUUUUUGGCCCUUAGUUAGCCUCUUUAUUAUUUCUAACCUUGAUUAAUACUAUUACUUCUGUGGGACGCACUCAACCCUAGGGAUACUACUCAACCCUAGGGGGACCGCAAUUAUCCCAAACCGUAUAAUUUUUUCAUCCAAGGGCCAAAAUCGGAAGCAUCAAAUACUCUAUACUUCCGAUAACAUAGUAACUCUACAUUAUAUAUAUAUAUAUAUAUAUAUAUAUAUAUAUAUAAAUAAUAUACUAAUAUAUAAGAUACACACACACAUAUAACAUAUACAUUUACAUACACACACCCACAUAUAAGGCUAGAAUACUAUUAAUAGCAACCAAGUCAUUGGUGCAUAAUUUUGGCCCUUGAUGAAGCGAUGUAUAUUACAAUGAUAGUGUCCCUAGGGAUGAGUGGGUGGUUGGUUGAAUAGUUAGAUCUAACGAGUGAAAAUGUCAAAGAGGUUUGAUCUAACCGGAGAAAACUUGAUAGCUCUAAGCGCUUGGUGCUAUUGAUAGCAUUGUAACCGACUAUAGAUAUAGAAAUAUAUAUAUAUAUAAUAUAUAUAUAUAUAUAUAUAUAUAUAUAUAUAGAACUUAAGACUAGAGUACAUUAAUAGACCAAAUCAUUGUGCUAUUAAUUUCGGCCCUUGGAUGAAGCGAUAUGCGGUUAGAAUGAUAGUGGUCUCCUAAGGUUGAGUGGUUGGUUGAAGUAAAUGAUAGAACGGAUGGAAGGUCAAAGGGUGUAGAUCUAAACGGCAGAAAACUUGUAGCACACCCUAGUUAGUAAUUAGCGAACAAUUCGCGAAUUUUUGAAUAAACCGAAUUAUAACGGCCUAAACAUUUUUCAAAAAAGUUUCGGAAAAAAACGCGUUUUUUCCGUAAAAAUAAUUAUCCGCAAUUAUUCGCUGAUUCGCGAAUGAUUCGCCCAAAAAAAAUGGCUCGUGAGUCGUGACACUCGUCGUCCUCCGUCCUCCCGCCCGCCCUGGCCGGCGCCGGGAGCAAGAGGGCCCGCGACGACGUUGUCGCGAGAGGAGCAAAAGCCGUGGCGUUGCGUUGCGCGCGCAGCGGAGGCAAAGGGACAGAGCGGCGGCGUUUGCGCGCGAGCGGAGCAAAAGGGACGCGUGUCCACGAGGCCAUUCGGCCUCGUGGACCGGAUGAGAGGGAGGUCCACGGGGACCUCCCUCUCAUUAAUAUACUAUAUAUAUAUAUAUUAUAAAUAUAUAUAUAUAUAUUAUAUAUAAUUAAUAUUUUUAAAUAUAUAACUUUUAUAUAUUAUUAAUAUAUGUUUAUUAUAAUUUUAAAUAUAUUUAAUCUAUUUAUAAAAAUUAUAAUAAUAAUAUAUAUAGUGUAUUAAUUAUUAUAUAUUUAUUAUAUAGCCGAAUUUUUGAUUCCGAAUUUUUAAUUGGUGAACGUAUAAUAUCCGUAUAAAUCAUGUAUCCGAAUAAUUACCGAAUUCGUUUUUUAGCCGUAUUUUUCAACGAAUUUAAAAAUUAAAAGACGAAUUUUAUCCGAAUUAUAUUCGUACCGAAUUUUUGCCGAAUCCGAAUUAACUAACUAUGGUAGCACCAAGUGCUUGGUGCUAUCGAUAGCAUUGUAGCCGGACUCUAUAUAUAUAUAUAGUUCGGCUAGGGUGCUUCUAAAAGCACUAUGAUGCUACCAAGUUUUCUACCGUUAGAUUUACCCCUUUGACUAUUUUUAUUCAUUAGAUCAUACUAUUUAACCAACCACCUACUUCAACCCUAGGGGACUACUAUCAUCCUAAAUGCACAUCCCUUCAUCCAAGGGUCGAAAAUCUAAUAGCACCAACGACUUGGUGCUAUUAGAAGCAUUCUAGCCUAAUUCUAUAUAUAUAUAUAUAUAUAUAUAUAUAUAUAUAUAUAUAUAUAUAUAUAUAUAUAUAUGGUGAUUUUGUAGGAAUAUAUCUGUCUCUCCAUUUUUCUAUGGUUUAGUUUGAAACAAUUUAUAUAAAUAUUUUGCAUUAUAUCAUGCCUUUCAGGUCAAUUGGACACCAUAUGAGGACAUGGAUCGCAGUAUUAUUCCGGAGUAUUGCCAUGCUUCUGAUAAUAUUUGCCAAACUCGGACAUGGCUUUUUAAUUUCAAUAUAAAAGAGAUAUAUGUUCCUGAAAGGUUUGCUCGACAAUUUGGGCAUGAGCAGCAAGAACUUGAUGAUGUGCCACAUUGGCAAAGAAGAACAACAAAUUCUUGGAUGGAUUGGAGAGUAGAAUAUGCUCAGGAAAUUGAAGAAUUUAAUCGAUUGUUCAAUAUUUAUCAUAAGGAGGUCAAUCCACCAUCAAGUAAUCAAGGAGCAAAAGAGUAUUCUCAUAUCAAUUAUAUGAUGAUGGUGAGGAAAAGAAAGAUAAUGAUCUAUUAUUUUUGAAUGAUUUAAAAAAAAAGGGUUAAUUUAAGGCGAUACCGUUGGGCUUUUGCAGGUGAAAGCUCUGAAGAAUGACCUCCCAGUGAUUGCUAAAUAUCUUGAAGGGCAAGAAUUACCUAUUGAGGUUGGAAGAUCCCUUGAAAAGUUGAAUAGUCUGAUGAGUUUUCCGCUGCUGAAAUCCAUUUCGAGGACAAAACAAGUAACCAAGAAGCAGAAGAUGAGUAAACAAGAACAGUUCGAGGUGACUGAGAAGCAGAAAAUUAGGAAACAAGAACAAAUCGAUUCCACUAAAGUAUUGGAGUCGCCAAGAUGUUCAGAUAGAAAAGCAGCAACCAAUGUGCGAAGGAGCUCGGGCACAGUUGAAUCUAAGAAAAGAAAGUGGCGUGGUACGAAAUCUGAUCGGGUGAAGAUAGAGAGCAAUCGACUACGAAGGAGUGGUAGGAUGUGCGUGCAGAUUAAGAAGUUCAAGCACAAGGAUGGACAGGGAGCGGAUCCAUCCAAUCCAAUCUCACUCUGAUGUAGAGUGUCUUCUUAUAGGGAAAUCCUCAACCAACCCCCAUUUGAUUUAAUGUCUCUGCACUUUGCUAUUCCGUGGUUCCGUUUGUCGCACUUAACUAUAUCAUGGUUACUGUUUUACUAUGCUACAAGGACCUCUUAUUGAUGGUAGAUUAGAGAUGGCACUUGGGAUGAUAAACUAUAAAACUCAAUAUAUUCAUGUGGGCGCAAAAUAGAGCCAUGAUCUCUAUGUGCCUUUCAAACCCGCCAUUAGUGAGAGGUCUUUGCAGGCUAGUGAAGUGUAACAAAUGAAAUUACAGGUAGCGAAGUGCGAGUACUUUAAACAACUGGUACGAUAUUCGAACAUUUUUCUUCUUUUAAUAACAUUUUUUUUCUCUUCAAUUUGCCAAAUAUAGCGCAUUGAAUUGUUUAGACGGAGAUGGAGAUCGUAGGCUGUUGGUUCAAAAAUAUUUGAAUGAAUUGCAAUUUUUCGGUGGUUUUAACUUGGUAUUCCUCAUUUCGCAUUAUUAGUAUUUUUUUCCUCUAAAUUAUUGUUCUACUAGUGGGUUUGAUUGAUUAGGAAUUUUUCCUGAGAUGUAUUUUACAUUGAUAAAGUCUCUCUUUCUGAUGAAAUUAUUUUUCUUUCUUUUUAACUCAACCUUGAGUGUUUGGUGCCUGCUUGGUAAGGCUCGACAUCCUUUUUUCUUUAAAAUCAAAAGUAGUUAUUUUAAUAAAGUACAAAAGAUUAGAUAAAAUAUGAAAUAAGCGAUUAGAAUAUAUUAGUGUAAAAAGAAUAUUUUAUGUCAUAUUGUGUUCAUAUACAAAUAUUUUUAUCGUUACCGCAUAGUUUAUGCUGUAGUCAGUAAGUUCUUGCUAUGAUUCUAUGUCAUGACAAUGAUUAUAUGCUUCUAGUUUAUUUUUAUUUUCCCUUCUAGUUCAUGGUAAUUUGGUCAAAAUUGACCUCACUCCGUUUAGUAGCUUAGCUACUUCUAAGCAGUCGGAUAUUUAACUUGUUGAAAACCUAAAUUGUUUAUAGAAAUGCAUUAGCAAAUACAUGGCAUUACAUUAUACGUGCCAGCACAUCAAAAACUUACAAAAAUAUAUUUUGCGUUACCUUUAGUAGCAUUUAUCAUGCAAUUCCUAAUACGAAACAAUAGAUUGAAACAAUUAAUUGGACUUCUCCCACAGCUUAGUAGAUGCAUAAGUUAAACACAUGAGCCAAAGGAUAAAAAACAAUAAAUAGGAGAUAAUCGUUUCUCUUUUCUCUUUUUUUCUUUUUCUUAAUGAGAUAAUAGUUUCUUUAUUGUUUAUUUUUUCUUGUCUCCACGCAUACAGAAAACCUAAAUCUGCAUGUGUCGAUUGUCCAACCAAGAAUCAUCUUGAUCAGAAUUUGUAUGUGAAAGAUAUGCUCUUCCGACGAUAUGAACGUCUCAAUCCAAUCCAAACUUGACCAUCCAGAUCCUCCUGAAUCACUACUCCUGUUUGGAAAAUUCAACACUUGCUGAAUUAAACUUCAAGAAAACUCAAAAGUAAACUCAAAUAAACUCCAGCUCGGAGUGCCGCCGUCAGAAAUAGUUCUUAGAUUAAGUUCCUGAAAAUACAUUUCGUAUUUAUAGUUCGCAGUGCAAUCAUUCUUCCAUCAUCAAGAGAUAUUAAACAGUUGACAAGAGCGCGAGACAUCGACGAAAAGAAAAUGCUACCAAAUGCCUUUUAUUGACUACAAAUAAGUAUCUGAUUGCAUAUAACUCAAACAUCUCUCUAUUGUCUUCUUCUGGGCAAGAGACCAGACCUAAAGAUGCAUAACUUACCUGCCUCAUGCUCCAUCAUAUUAUUUUGUUCUUCCUACAUAUACAACCAAGUGCUAGCUUUUCUUUCUUUCAGCCUCUUCCCUUUUUCUUUCUUAUCGUGAUAAGGCGAAAUGUUAUGAGCAAACAUGUCAAAGUGAGGAUGGUGAUUUAACUGCUGCUGCCGCAGAUUCUUUCUGAUAAGUAUACACGCCGAUCCCCCGCUUUCUUCCCAGUCGACCGGCAUCGACAUACUGAACGAGGAGCGGGCAGGGGCUGUAUUUGCUAUCGCCGAGUCCCUCGUGAAGAACUCUGAGUAUGGAGAGGCAGACGUCGAGCCCGAUGAAGUCUGCGAGCUCCAGCGGGCCCAUCGGGUGGUUUGUGCCCAGUUUCAUUCCCGUGUCUAUGUCCUCCUUUGUCGUCACGCCGGUGUACAAAGUGUAAAAUGCUUCAUUAAUCAUUGGCAUCAGGAUACGAUUGACGAUGAAGCCUGGGUAGUCUUGGGAGCAUAUAACAGUCUUCCCUAGCCUGCAUGAAUGGAAAAUUAAUUGAUUAGACAGGCUCAUUAUUUUGACCUAGUGAUUUGUAAAUUCCAAUAGCAUUCAAUAGCUGACGGAACGGUAGUUCUAUCUAAGUAAAAAGGCUUAAAGUUGAAGGAACAGUUAACAAAGGAAUCUAAAAUCAGCUGACAAAUUCAUUUCAAAUCAAAAAACUUUUACCCAACAAUUGCAAUCAAAUAGUAUUUGAAUUAGCAAACUAUAUGUUUACCAGAAAAAAAAAAAGCUAGGUAGAUUAGAAUAUGAAUUCCAUAAUUUUUUUUUUCCCCCUCUAAGACCUUUUUGGUCAAGCUAGAGUAUCUGCAGAAAUGCUGCAUGUGUAAAGCUGCUCCAAUGACUCUUUUUUUUUAAAUUUUACUGAAAUUCCGUCCAACAGUUCUUUGCCACAACACAAAAACUGUAAAAUUUAGAGCUUCUGGGGCUAAGAAGCUCAUUGGACCUUCUUACCUCAGAGAAAGAUCUAGAUUGCUUCUUCAUCAAAUGCUCCAUUUGCUGCUCCCAGGAGCAGAGCAACUAUUCUAGAGGCCAUGCCAAGCAGGCACUAAAUAUUUACUAUUUGAUGCACAUUUAUUCAGAAAGCCAAAGAACUAAAAACUAGGUAAAUUAUGCAGACCGGCAAAGUCUUAGGAGCAUACCUUUCCGCCAAGGAUUUUAUCGUCACAAAGAUCUCAUCAGAUGUAUCUGCUCCUCUUACAAUCUCAACCAAUUUCAUUAUAGGAGGAGGGUUCAUAAAAUGCAUGCCUAUCACCUGACAUAAAAAGAAAAGGCUCCUUUCAAAUCUGACAGAAAAAGAAAUGUACUCCAUUUUGAUUCUCAGAAAAGUUUCCUUAUUUACCAUGUUCAUGGUUGAGUAAUCAUAUGGAAAAUGACAAAUUGGAAAUAAGUAGCAGCAGCUACGGAAUAUCAGAAAACUUCUCCAUUAAGUUGUAACUCAGUGAUUCGUCCACUUCGUCCAUUUAAUAUUUAGAUGAGGAUGUCUUAGCAAGUGUCCAUUGAUAGAUAGAAGAUUUAAACGAGAGGUUUAGACUAUUAUUUUAGCAAGUAAACCAGAAGCAGAGUUACAUUUUGUAACAAUUUAAAAUAGAGGAAGUUAAGAGGUUAGAAUUGAUAAACAUAUUACAUUUGCUCAGCUACACGUAUUAAUGAGACAGGAAUGCGGCGCAGGAUGUCUGCUGGACUAAGGCUAAACGGCCCCCAAUAAUAUAGAUAUAGGUUAGAAUCCCAUCGCAUACCUUCAUAGAAAUGCUAAGAAGGUGCCAAAGAAUCAAUUAGCAUUUACAAGAUAUUCAUACAAAUAAAUUACCAUCAACCAGCACAUUCAACGGCAUAGAAUUUAAGGCAAGGAAAACAAAAAACUUAAGCAGUGCCAAGGUAGGCUUAUGUUUGAUGUUCUCUUUGUUUCUAUUUCAUGUUUCUACUAAGAAUAAACCUAUAAUCAAUAAAAGCACUGUCAAGAGCAGGAAUUAAUAUCACAAUAAGCUGAUCUAAUGAAACAAAGGAAUCAACUAAAAAACCUGGGAUGGGCGGCUAGUUGCAGAAGCAAGGCGUGUUAUUGAGAUUGAACUUGUAUUAGAUGCCAGAAUUGCAGAAGCUUUGGAGAUCUUGUCAAGUUCUAUAAACAAUUUCUUCUUUACAUCUUCAGACUCCACAAUGGCUUCAAUUAUGACAUCUGCAUACCGAAGCUCUUGCAAAUUUGAUGUGUACUUCAGACGGCUUAUCGAAUCAUUACCUACAACCUACAAGCAAAUAGAAGCAACCAAAAAUUUAAGAGUGUUAGCUAAUCGGCAAGUGACAUGUUAUGCAACAAAGUUAGGAAGAUGAUAGUUUCUGAUAUUUGUUGUUUUAGCUUCUAAUCUAUUUCAGAAUAGUGACAAACUUCUUCAGGCAGAGUUUCAACUACUAGCGUCCCCACAUAUAAGCUUCAUAAAUGAUACCUUUUACACAAAAUUCUGAGGGAAGCAAUUAGUAACUGCAAGAAGCUCAAUAACUCAAGCAAGCUGUUGAACACUCUGCUUAAAAACUGUUACUAGUCUUUAGAGCAAUUGGAAAGUUGGUUUCACAAUUAAUUCUAUUGGGAGGUAUACACAGUUAGGUCAAUUUUGCAGAUUCAAUCAGAAAGACUUUAGAUAAAACAACAAUAAAAUUUGAAUAUUUCAAGAAACCUUAUUAUGCUGUUACAAUCACGUCAAACACUACUGGAAAAAUGAGAGCAUGAAGACCAAAAUCAUGACAUUCAACCAGUCAAAGACUACCAAAGUCAAUCAACAUGUGCAGCAACUUCUUUAAUAAGGAUAUCACAGCUCUUCUAAUAAACCAAGAAUAUCUCUCUCUUUCUACGAGCAGUGAUCACAAUAGAGCUUUAUUAGAGAAAAGGCUUAAAAAGGUAUACUACCCUUAUGAAUGAAAUCUAUAAGUUCGAGAUUUCUGCCGUAAUAUCUAAUCUAUAAAUUAUAGUUUAAUGUGAAGACACUUUCCAUCUCCUCGUAAUAGUAGUUCAAGCAAUGAAUUGAUUACGUCUUGCAGAAUUGUUCUGCAUUCUGCUUUUCCAUUGGUCAUCAAUCUUAUAUUUACUCGAUUAUAAUCAAUCAAAGAAGCCAGUUAACGAAAAUACAACACAAGGUUAUGUCAACUUACUGAAUGCAGAUUAGAAAGAUAGUGGCUAGUCCAUUCACACCUAUUUUGCAUGUCCCCAACAGAAACAUGUGUACAAAUUAUUUAACAGAUGCUAGAGAUUGAAGCUAUAUGAAAACAAAGUGGAUAUUGGACAUAUCCACAAUCGCUCAUUGAUAUAUACAAAAGGGGGAAAAAAAAUCCAACAUAACUUUAUAUUUACCACACUGAAGGAAUCAAUAGAGAGGAAAAAAAAAAUUUGCGAGCAAUAUAGUAACACAGACAUUUUUAUUUAUGAUGUUAAACUACUAAAUGGGAAAAUUAUACGUCCGCGAACUUCUGGUUCAAGUUGCACUAGUCCCUGAACUUCUGGUUUAAGCUUUACUUUAAUACUCAGACUUCUAAGUUAGUCAUUCGGCACCUGUUGCAUCCUCUCAUCCAUGCACCACGAACCCAUCGGGUCUCCAUCCAUUUAAUACAUGCAAUAUCUAGAGAAGAUGUGGAUGCUAAGGACUAAAAUAUCAAAAGUGAUCGAGGAAUGAUAGAUGCGUGGUAAAAAAAAUAAAAAAUGUACAAAUGCACCAGGUGCAGGUUAUAGUUUCUCCUCUAAUAUUGUUAUGCUCUAUUUGGAUGAGGAGAAUAAUAAAGAAUGACAACAAAGUAAGAGAGAAGAUAAGAAAGAAAAAUGGAUUGAUUUCUCUUGUUAUGUUUUGAUGGAUGGUAGAGAAGGAAAAAAAAGGAGUUUUUGAUAGAGUUAUCUUUCUUUUUCCCUCUUUUUCCACUUCCAAGAGAAAAUAAAUCGACUGCUGUGGAAAGUUAUUUCCUUUUUUUUUUUUUUUCUCUCUCCAUUUCUCCACCUUUCUUCCAUCAAGUUUGAUUCUAAACUAGAGAAAAACAACUUUCUCAUUUUAUUUUAUUUUAUUUUCUCUUUCUCUUCAUCCAAACAGAGAGAGGAAAAAAACUAUCAAAUGUUCAAAAACCUAAGGCUGUGUUUGGACAUACGAAUAAAAUAUUCAACAAUAUUUCAUUCGGUAUAUAGAUUUUCUUGUGUGAUUGAUUGGAUCAUAGGAGUUUGAUUUUCUUUGCUCCUUGAACGGUUGUGGCAUCUUUGAUUUGGUAGGAUAGCAUAUUUACCUUCUGAAUAGAUGAUUUGAAGGCCGAAUAUAAUAUUUAUUCUAGACAUUCGAUGACACUUCUCAUCUACCAAAUAUUACAUGCUUCUGGAGUAAAUCGAAGGGAUUACAUGAAUAAGACGUUCGUGCAUCCAAACAUGAUCUUAAAAAUUUGAGAUCAGCGGUGCAAUUUACCCAAUUCUACACAUAUGAAAACAAGGCUCAGGCCCAGAUCUUUAAAUUGCAAAUUUCCAAAUUAAUUUCCCUAAAAGGGGUGUUUGCUUCCUCAAAAAAGCAAGAAAAAGGUGAUAUGUGGCGAUGGAUUGGGGCUCACUAAUGAGGCAUCGUUGUAGAAGUUUUUUUUUUUUUUUUUUUUAAAAAAAAAAAAAAAAAAGAAGGUUACGUAUAUGCUUCAUUAAUUUAAAUUUUUAGGGUUAGGAUUAAUGUUGCACUAGAAGUGCAUGGGAUGGGGGUUUUCUUAAUUAAGUAAUAAUUACCCGGUUAAUUAAUUAGAGGGGUUAAUAUUUUCCUAUGGGCCCAUUAUAUAUAUAUAUAUGCCUUUUGUUUUUGAAUUUACGUAGCCCACCCUUGCAAGUUUCGAAGUGCACUUACUUUGAAGUUGGCUUCGGAUCACAUAAUGAGAGAUGUACAAUUAUAACUAAAUGUACAAGUGUUGAAAUGUUCGUGGAUGCAGUGAAACUUACACAGCAUUCCUAAUUAAUUAAGAUUGGUUAGGCAGGAUCCUUUAAUUUCCUUUUGAAGCUCUCUCAUAGAAUACUUAUGCCUCAAAGAGAGUGCAAAAGGAUACAAUACUUUGGCCUCAAAGAGAACGCAAAACAUAUUUAGCAAAACAAAUUUAGUAUUGUAUUAAUUGUUGCUUCAAAAGACGAGCUUUUGUGUUCAUAAAAUAACAUUUGUUUUGUGAAAAAGAAAGGCGUUUUUUAUAAUUGAUUUGUCACCACUAUACUCCACGUAGCUACUUGCAACACUAUCAGAAUAGCUAAAUUACACGCUUGCACGAAAGAAACGAAUCAACUCAUGCAUGAAACAAACCAAUUAGCUCGUCUGAUGCAGGUUAAGUUCAAUGAAUAGUUUGCACGUUAAUUUACCCUAGAUUUGCUGCGCAUCUCAAGUCACCUAGAUUUGUACACAUCUCGAUCGAGUCACCAAGUUCUGUUGCACAUCUCAAGUCACCUUUUUUUUUUUUUUUAAACCUUCGUUCAAGGGGCGGCUAACCGGAUUCACCAAAUCCAAGUUAAAUGAACCAACCAAACAAUUUGGUUUAGUUAAGUAAAACCUAAAAAAAAUUACUUAAGAAUUCAAAGCUGAAUUAUAAAACUUCGAGCACGAAGCGCAGUGCAUGUUCUGCAGUGAUUAGGAGGAGAGAGCAGUUAAUUAGAGUUUGUAUAUUGUUAAUUAGACAUGAAAUCUUAGAGAUAGAUCGAUAUUGCCUCGAAGGAUGCCCUCGCGUAGCUAGAAAGGCAAUCAACUGCACACGGAGAAUCAUCGACAAGGGCCCUAGCUAAUUUGCGAGAAUUCAGGCUAUUGACUUGAAAAUAUUUUAGCCGAUCGGUCUUUGAUCAAAUCAAAGAAGUUAGUGAGAAAGCUAAAGGAAAAUUAACAAAGAGAAGAAUAAUUAAGUACCAUUAAGAGUUCUAAGCUUAAAAUGAGGGGACCUUUGUCAACUAUGUAAGGAACAUGCGUGUACUGUGUCUAAUUAGGAGUUCACACUUGCAAAUCAAAGUCAAGUACAUACGUGACAGGGGAUUAAAACUUUUAUAUAUAUAUAUAUANNNNNNNNNNNNNNNNNNNNNNNNNNNNNNNNNNNNNNNNNNNNNNNNNNNNNNNNNNNNNNNNNNNNNNNNNNNNNNNNNNNNNNNNNNNNNNNNNNNNNNNNNNNNNNNNNNNNNNNNNNNNNNNNNNNNNNNNNNNNNNNNNNNNNNNNNNNNNNNNNNNNNNNNNNNNNNNNNNNNNNNNNNNNNNNNNNNNNNNNNNNNNNNNNNNNNNNNNNNNNNNNNNNNNNNNNNNNNNNNNNNNNNNNNNNNNNNNNNNNNNNNNNNNNNNNNNNNNNNNNNNNNNNNNNNNNNNNNNNNNNNNNNNNNNNNNNNNNNNNNNNNNNNNNNNNNNNNNNNNNNNNNNNNNNNNNNNNNNNNNNNNNNNNNNNNNNNNNNNNNNNNNNNNNNNNNNNNNNNNNNNNNNNNNNNNNNNNNNNNNNNNNNNNNNNNNNNNNNNNNNNNNNNNNNNNNNNNNNNNNNNNNNNNNNNNNNNNNNNNNNNNNNNNNNNNNNNNNNNNNNNNNNNNNNNNNNNNNNNNNNNNNNNNNNNNNNNNNNNNNNNNNNNNNNNNNNNNNNNNNNNNNNNNNNNNNNNNNNNNNNNNNNNNNNNNNNNNNNNNNNNNNNNNNNNNNNNNNNNNNNNNNNNNNNNNNNNNNNNNNNNNNNNNNNNNNNNNNNNNNNNNNNNNNNNNNNNNNNNNNNNNNNNNNNNNNNNNNNNNNNNNNNNNNNNNNNNNNNNNNNNNNNNNNNNNNNNNNNNNNNNNNNNNNNNNNNNNNNNNNNNNNNNNNNNNNNNNNNNNNNNNNNNNNNNNNNNNNNNNNNNNNNNNNNNNNNNNNNNNNNNNNNNNNNNNNNNNNNNNNNNNNNNNNNNNNNNNNNNNNNNNNNNNNNNNNNNNNNNNNNNNNNNNNNNNNNNNNNNNNNNNNNNNNNNNNNNNNNNNNNNNNNNNNNNNNNNNNNNNNNNNNNNNNNNNNNNNNNNNNNNNNNNNNNNNNNNNNNNNNNNNNNNNNNNNNNNNNNNNNNNNNNNNNNNNNNNNNNNNNNNNNNNNNNNNNNNNNNNNNNNNNNNNNNNNNNNNNNNNNNNNNNNNNNNNNNNNNNNNNNNNNNNNNNNNNNNNNNNNNNNNNNNNNNNNNNNNNNNNNNNNNNNNNNNNNNNNNNNNNNNNNNNNNNNNNNNNNNNNNNNNNNNNNNNNNNNNNNNNNNNNNNNNNNNNNNNNNNNNNNNNNNNNNNNNNNNNNNNNNNNNNNNNNNNNNNNNNNNNNNNNNNNNNNNNNNNNNNNNNNNNNNNNNNNNNNNNNNNNNNNNNNNNNNNNNNNNNNNNNNNNNNNNNNNNNNNNNNNNNNNNNNNNNNNNNNNNNNNNNNNNNNNNNNNNNNNNNNNNNNNNNNNNNNNNNNNNNNNNNNNNNNNNNNNNNNNNNNNNNNNNNNNNNNNNNNNNNNNNNNNNNNNNNNNNNNNNNNNNNNNNNNNNNNNNNNNNNNNNNNNNNNNNNNNNNNNNNNNNNNNNNNNNNNNNNNNNNNNNNNNNNNNNNNNNNNNNNNNNNNNNNNNNNNNNNNNNNNNNNNNNNNNNNNNNNNNNNNNNNNNNNNNNNNNNNNNNNNNNNNNNNNNNNNNNNNNNNNNNNNNNNNNNNNNNNNNNNNNNNNNNNNNNNNNNNNNNNNNNNNNNNNNNNNNNNNNNNNNNNNNNNNNNNNNNNNNNNNNNNNNNNNNNNNNNNNNNNNNNNNNNNNNNNNNNNNNNNNNNNNNNNNNNNNNNNNNNNNNNNNNNNNNNNNNNNNNNNNNNNNNNNNNNNNNNNNNNNNNNNNNNNNNNNNNNNNNNNNNNNNNNNNNNNNNNNNNNNNNNNNNNNNNNNNNNNNNNNNNNNNNNNNNNNNNNNNNNNNNNNNNNNNNNNNNNNNNNNNNNNNNNNNNNNNNNNNNNNNNNNNGCGAAGAUAAAUCGUCGUCGGAGGCGGCAGAAAAUGAGGGAGAGGGAGAGAUGAGAAGGGCGGGGAAGGGCGAGAGGCGUCGUCGUCGGAGACGGUGGAGAAGAGUCGGAGAAGAAAAGAAAAGAAAAAAAGCAAAAAAAAAAAGUCGCGGCACGGCCUUGGCGGGGUCGGAGAGGCGAGGAAGGUGGGGGGUGCAUGGACGAGGGCAAGGGCGAGGGCGAGAGCAUGAGGGUGAGAGGCGAGACGGACCGUUUCUACCUCCGCUCCGCCUCCGCUCUACCGGCGAGAAAAAAAAAAAGAACGAGAGAAACGAAGAAAAGAGAGAAAGAGGAAAGAGAAAAAGUAAUAAGGGUAUUUUGGUCAGUUUGCUGAAAAAGCGGACCGAAUCUACAAAAAUAAAAAAGGUGGCCCGAUUUUGCAAAAGCCCAAAAUAAGUGGAUUUUUUAUGCAAAUUGGCCUUAAUUUUUUUUAAAAAAUAAUUAUAAAAAUAGACUUUUAAAUACGGUGAAUAAUUCACCGCAUUCAUAAGUCCUCAUUAGAAAUAGAAAAAAAUAAAAACGGUGAACCAUUCACCGCUUUUACCAUCGUAGAUAUAUAUAAAAAGUGAGAAAAAGAACCAUUCACCGUUUUUAAAAGCGGUGAAUGAUUCACCGCUUUUAUAGGACUAUAUUUACAAAUAAAAAUUUAACAGUUUUAUUUUUAAAAUAAAAAUUUAGGAAAAGACUAUUGCACUAAAAAAUCCUAUCUAUUCUGUGCUAAUUAUAUUUUUUUCUAAAAAAAUUGCAAAACAAAUAUUUUUCUAAAAAUUUGGAUAUAACACUCAAAUUGUCCCACAACCCAUGAAUAAAGAAUUAUGAUUUCAUAUAUAAAAAAUCUUCAGAUUUAUAAUAAGGGGAUACUUCAAAUAACCCCUGUGAUUUUGCAUUUUCUCACUUUAGUACCCUAUGGUUUAAAGUGUAGCAAGUUAGUACCCUGUGGUUUCGCACUUUCUCACUUUAGUACCCUGUGGUUUCAAGUGUAUCAAAUUAGUAUCCUGUGGUUUUAUUUUUGUCUCAAGUUAGCACCUUGUGGUUUCAAUUUUCUCUUUUUAUUAUUCAUUUCAGGGUAUAUAAUUUAACAAAAUAUUAAACCACAUGGUGCUAAAACGAGAAAGUGUGAAACCAUAAGGUACUAACUUGAUACACUUGAAACCACAGGGUACUAAAGUGAGAAAGUGCGAAACCACAGGAUACUAACUUGAUACAUUUUAAAUCACAGGAUAUUAAAGUAAAAAAGUGCGAAACCACAAGGGAGGUAUUUGAAGUUUUUCCUAAUAAUAAUAAUUAAAUUUAAAUAUUUUGGGCCAGAAACAAAUACAACAUAUACAUAAUAAUAAUAUUUGUACAUUUCAAAUCUACCAUCUGUUGGACUACCGUAUUGAGUGCAAGAAAUAACUUAGAUAUAAAAAAAGACUACAUAAAAUUUAGAGACUAAUUAAAAACCUUAUUAAGAGUUUCGGAUCUUAAAUAUCGAAAUUAAAAGUUUGAGUACCAAAAUUUAACCUCACUCAAAGUUUAGGGACUACUAGUACUGCAAUUUUCCCAAAAACAUCACAAUGAAGAUUACCAUAUCUGGUUGAAUCCAAGCAUUUAUUGCUUUUGUAUAUAGUUCCUUUAUAUAUAUAUAUAUAUAUCAGUAUAAAUUCACAUAGUCACUUUAGUCACAAGCUACUUAGAUACUGAAGAGGUGGAGGUUCUUGCUUCUUGAGAUGAAGACAAUCCUAUCCCUUUUGCUGCUAAUGAUAUUUGUAUCAACUUCUAGUAUAUAUAUCUCUCUCAUUUACUGCUUCCCUUCUCUCUUUUCAGUAAAUUUUUUAACCUACUUGCUUAUUUUGAUAUGAUCUUCCUAUUUAUCAACUACUCAUAGCUGCCAUAUUAUAGUUGAUUUUUCACAUCUUGCUAGAAAAAUUUCAUGGAAACAAAUUAAAUAGUUGAUUUUUCUAAAAGGUUUGGGAUUUAAUCGCAUCCCACUAUACCAUACUUCUGUAUAAUUUUUAUUUAUCAUGACAUUAUUUUUCUUUCUAAAAAACAAUCAAACUGUUAUCUUUUUAUCAAUCUCUAUAUUGUACUUUACAUUUAUUUUUAUUUGCUACUCUGAAUCAUUUUCUUUUUUCAAUGGCAUCAUUAAACUAUUAUUGUAUACAUACAACAAUCUUUAUACUAUUGGCAAUAAAUCUAUUGUUUUGAAUAAAAGCUAACUAAUGUCUUAAAAGGUACUAGUUAAAUAAUAAGAAGAAAGCAAAAAUGUCCUCCAAGACAGAUUUAUUGCAAGAUUUAAUUAGCUGAGUUGUUUUCAACUAUUAAUUUUUUGCUAUUUUUAGAUAUUUUAUUUUUUUUCCUUGUCAAAAUUGGCCAAAUAUACGCUAUGCAACAUACUUCAAAAUAGUGUUUUAACGAAAUUGUUAGGUCCCACCUAAAUUAUAGGUUUACUACAGUGAGCAUAUGGAUUUAUAAAAAACGACAAUUUAAUAGUAUUUUUGCAAUAUAUAUAUAUAUAUAUAGUGUAGAGCUACUAUACUAUCGAAAGUAUAAGAGAAUUGAUGUUUCCGACUUCUUAGCCCUUGGAUCAAGAAUUGUAGGAUCGGAAUAAUAGUGGAGUGGUCCUUCUAAAAUAAUAAUAUUAAUUUAAAUAUCAGAAAUAGUCAAAGGGUUGAUUUAAGGACUAAAAAGUUGGAAGUAUAUAUAUGCUUUCGAAAGUAUAGUAGCUCUACUCUCUCUCUCUCAAUCUAAAGAUCAGAAAUAAUCAAAGGGUUGAUUUAAGGACUAAAUAGUUGGAAGUAUAUAUAUACUUCUGAAAGUAUAGUAGCUUUACCCCUCUCUCUCUCUCUCUCUCUCUAUAUAUAUAUAUAUAUAUAUAUAGUAUAGGAAAACAAAAAAUAUCCUAAAUUAUAAGGCUUAAUUAGUUCAAUUAACUAUGCUUAGGUGUAAUGUAUUUUUAAAAAAACUAUGCUUAGGUGCAAUAUCUCCUACUUCAAUGAAAUUUAAGAAAAGAAAGUUAAUGGAUAGCAAUACAAUAAACUUUGUUUAUCUUUAAGGCAUACAUAAAGUCUCGCCAUUUUCUAAAAUAAAAAAGAGGGAGUUCACGGGCAGUCCCUCAACUAUUUUGAUAUUAUUAUUUAGUUUGAGAACUUUCACUUAAGUGUCUUUGUCCUUUAAAAUUCUCUAAUAUAUUACAAUCUUAUUUUUAAUGUUUAAAAAAUUCUCAUGUUUGUUAAUUCAUUUUCUCAACAUGCAAAUUUUUGAUAUAAAAAAUAAUAAAAGUUAUCUUAAGGGCAGGAGAAACAGUGCAACAAGAGAAAAAACAGUGCAACAAGAGGAGAAGCAGUAUAAAUAUCUCUUAAAUGGGUGCAGUUUAAGAUAAAUGGGUGCAAUUUUUUCUUGUUGCACCAUUUCUCCUCUUGUUAUACUGUUUUUUAUUUUAAACUACACAUCUUUAAUAGAUAUUUAUACUGCUUCUCCUCUUGUUGCACUGUUUCUCCUAUUGUUGCACUGUUUCUCCUCUUUAAAGAGGAGAAACAGUGCAACAAGAGNGCCGGGCAUGCGGUAGAAAGAAGUUAGAAUGAAAGGACUGUCAGUUAUCUGCCUAAGUUUUGUUCAUGCUUUGGAGGGGAGAGUACCCAAUUAUGUAGCCAAGUUAUAUGCUUGUUCUUGGUGAGAAAGAACCCUAUACAUUUUGCAUUUUGAAUGUGUGAAUUGAUGGCAUAACAAAUUUUCUCUCUCUCUCUCAUCUUUCUGAAAUUAACUCUUUUGAUGAGAAAGAAUUUUAAGCAGGUCAGACGGAUCAUAAUAAGUCAUCUAAGUGGUAAAAAAUCUUAAAAGUUGAGAGAUACAGUCGUACGUAUGACUCCAUUAGCCCAAACCUAGUUGUAAAGAGCAAACAGAAGAAGUAAUUUGUAUGAUGCCUCGAUAGUUCCACAUUGGAUAAUAUGACAGAGUGACACAUUAAUAGAACUAAUAACUUGGGUUAUUUUGGAUCAAUGAUUUGAGCUCAAUAAAUUAUUAGUGCCAGUGAGUUUGGUCAUUAUAAUUGGUAUCAGAGAUGAUUCACCAGCCGAAAUUGUAAGGUGAGUCUCAUAUUGUCUGGUGAUCUUCGGCUGUAUGUUUAAUUAGGUUGAUAAGGAUGAGUCCCAUGUUGGAUGACGUGGGAAAGUGUGAGGAACUUAGAUAUAAGAAGCACAUUAGAACUAUUAACCAAACAUAAACAUUUUAUGCAAACUGAUAUGUUAACUACAAGAUCAAUCUUAGUAGGAAAUGAGUGAGCACAUCGUGCAUAUGAUGGAUAUAGAAAGACAAGCGGAAUUGAUAGGUGAGAUACAUAGGAGAUGGAUGGUUUAACCUAUUAUAUAAUGCAUAAUUUAAGCCCUUAUAUAUCAAAGAUAGUGAUUAAAUUCAUGACCCAACCUCCCGCCAUUUCGAACAUGACUCGCACCAAUCUGGCCUCCCGUUACUGGGCAAGAUGCUGGUUUCUUUUAAGCCAACAAAUUAUACCACAUGAAAUGUAAAUUCCGUAUGAAACAUUAAUUGAAGGUUUUGUAGAAAUUGAUUAUACAAUGAAAUGGCUUUUCAGGAUAUUUAGCAAUACAUCAGCAUUCGAUGAACUCAAUUGAACAUUGAGACUUAAUUAUAAUAAUCUAAAAAAUUUGAGUGAGAACUUACAACAAAACAAAGUUUAGGGACCAAUUAAUGUUUAGCCCUUUCUAAAAAGGAAAUUCUCUUUCCCUUUUUCUAUUUUAACUAACAACUUAACUGAGAGUCAAAAGUAGAUGCAAGUACAUGCCACAAAUCUUUCAUAUUCUCACUAUUAAAUAUCAUAUCUCACCAUUACCAAGGAUAUUCUUAUUAUUGCAAAGAACAGUGAAUCUCUAUUAAUGCAUCUGGUGAGUAGCAACAUUAAAUGCACCUCAUUCAAUUACCACAUUAAAUUUUCCCCACACUUUGAGCAUUUUAUUAAUAUAUAAAGGACUCUCCAAAUAUUGUGAAAUAUGCAUGAGUGUGAGUGUUACUUAAACAUGGACAGAAGAAGUGUGCCAGUUAUCUUCGUGUGCUUGUUGAUGGUCUCUUUCACCAUUGGUAGGUAUUUAUUGGGUCUCUAAAGGAGCCUAUAUACUUCAUUUUUGGGUGGUACUUAGGAGUGCUAAUUAAUUGUUCUUCAUAAAAAAGGAAAAUUUUUUUUUUACCGGUAGUUAUAACACAGUUUCACUUUGUCAUAUUGUGGUUCAGAAAGUUGUUCUUACAGAUUGAUCUUCCGUUUAAUAGAAUAGCAAAGUGAUGCUUUUCGAAAGGGUAAACUUCAUAUCCCCCCACGAGAUGAUAAAGUGAAAAUAAAUUAAACUACAAGAGAACAAAGUGAAACCUUUUGAAUUACAAGGUGACAUAACAAAAAUGACCUAAACCUAGACCUGGCAAUCACGACUCAAAUCCGCGGGUGCCUACGGGUUACCCGCAAAUUUGCAGGUAUGGGUACCAACUUUUCCAACCAAAAGAAUUAUGGGUAAAACGGAUGUGUACCCAUUAAGCUGUGGGCAUUUUGGGUAACCCACGAGUACCCACACACAUAUAUUUUAAUUACAAAAUCUAUUUUCUUAAUAUAUAUAUAUAUAUAUAUAUAUAUAUAUAUAUAUAUAUAUAUAUAUAUAUAUAUAUAAUGUAUUAUUAUGAAUUCCGAAAAAUUAGUUAAAAGUAGUGUUAUUUACACUUUGUCCAACCUGAAUGUGAUACAAAACACUCAUUUUUCUUGAUCAUUUUUUGACAUAUUUUCAGUCCAAGAACUACUAGAUAGUUUUGAAUAGGGUAAGCUUUAAUUUGUCCUCCAGUGGUUUAGUUCUUUUUUUUUUCAUACUAAGGUUUAAAAAUUACAUUUAACUAUUCUGUAAUUUAUCGUUAUUUUUACCUAAAAAAUUCACUAUCAAAUAAGGUAGCAAAUAAAUUUUUUUAUAAUCAUAUAAUAGUUAGAUAUAACUUUUGCACCGCACAUCUAUUUUUCUACUACAUUAAAGAAGGAUUUGGGAGACCAAAGGAUGACAUGUGUCCCCCCAAACCCCCCUUUACUCUCUCUCCCUCUAUAUAUAUAUAUAUAUAUAUAUAUAUAUAUAUAAAAUUUAAAAUUUUGAUACUUUCAAAUUUUAAAAAUUUAAAAUUUAAAUUUAAUUUAUNUAUUUAAAUUUUAGGAGUAAAAUUUUAGAAAUAUAGUGUAUUUCUGUUUAUAUAUAAUUAAUGUUAUUAAACAAUUUCUUUUACAAUUUUAAUUUUCCUCUAUUUAUUGAUUUUUUAAAAAUUAUUUUGAUAGAUUUGAUCUCAAAUCAUUUUCAUAUAAAUAUUUAUAAAAUAUAUUGUUGUAUAAAUUUACUUUGCACAUAUGCCAAUUUUAAUGACUUUUAUUUAAAUAAAUUUACUGAUUAAAUUAUUUUUAUAUAUCUUUUAUUUAAUUAAUAAUUAGACUUAUAAAAUUAUAUAAAAAUAUAAAAAAAAGUAAAAUUUAUUAUAAAAUUAUUUUUAUAUCCGCAGUAUCGCGCGAAUAUUUCACUAGUAGAGUAGUAAAGCACAAUUUCUUGAACCAUAUGCUACUUGAAAAUGAGUUAAAUCAUGGGUGGGCAAAUUAAAAUUUAUAGUUUUUCACAUGAGCGAUAUUAAAUAUCCAUUAUAGCAUCUAUAUCUAUAUAAAUAUAGAAUCGAGAGUAUGUACGGUGGGCUCCCCGCGUUUUGCGGGGGACUCGCGAGAGAGAGAGAGAGAGAGGGAGAGAGAGAGAACAGAGGGAGGAGGGAGAUGAGAAACAGUAGAGGGGAGGUGAGAGAAGGCCUACAGAUGAAGAGGUAGGAGAUGGAAGAGAGACCAACCGGGAGAGAGGAAGAGAGAAAGGAAGAGAAAAUGAGAGAGGAAGGGGGGGGCCUGCGUGCAGGCGACUCGCCGCCCGCCAGCACACGCGGAGAGGAGAAGAGGGAAGAAAGAGGAGCAGAGCGCGAGCCCGAACCACCAUAAGUGGUGAAGAGAAAGGAAGAGGGGAGGGAGGGGGGCGGGACGGGGGGGGAGAGAGUGAGAUGAUGGAGAGAGAGUACAGCUGUGAAACGAAAACGAGAGGAGAGAGAGCAGACAGAUUCUCUCUCUCAUCUCUUAGCGGGCGCAGGGGGUGCGGGCCGCACCGCAUGGCGGCACCUAGCUCCCUGGCUUCUCUCUCUCACUCUCUCUCCCUCUUCACACUCAGUCCCCCCUUCUCUCUCCCUCUCCCCAUUUCUCUCUUCCCCCUCCUCCCCUCCCGCGGGCUCUCUCUCCCCUUUUCUCUCUCACGCCACGUUGCGCCGCGACCCGCCGCAAACGGGUUGCGCGCGGCGCGGGCCACGUGGGGAGGUGCGGGCGACCCGCAACCCCUGCGGCCGACAUGCGCGAGCUCUCCCCCCCACCUUUUAUACCUCUCCUCCCCCCAGGACUCUCUCCACUCUCCUACCCCUCUCCCCCUCUUUUUCUUCCUCCCCUGCUCUCUCUCUCUCGUCCCUCUCCCCGCGCUGGGCGGGGGAGGCAGGGAGGCGGAGUGCGGCGCGGGGCGAUCGGGGGGACGAUGGCGCUGGCGACUGGGCGCGGGCGCGGCGCGGGGCGAGGGCUGGUCAUCCCGGUGGCGAGCGGGACCGAGCGGUAGGGCCGGCUCGCGCGGGGCGGCGAUCGCGAGGGCGCGGGGGCGGGGUGCGUGAAGGGCGCUGAGCGUGGCCGCUUCGCAGCGAACGCGGGCAGAAGAGGGAGAAAGCAAACAGAGAAGCAUGAGAGAGAGUGACCGGCAGAGGCGGUUGGAGAGGAGAGAGAGAGAGAGGAGGAGAUAGACGCGGAAGGAAAUAUAUAUAUUAUAUAUAUAUAUAGUAUAUAUAUAUAUAUAUAUAUAUUUAUUAUAUAUAUCUUAUUAUAUAUAUAUAUAAUUUUAUUUAUUAAUUAUAUUAUAUAUAUAUAUUAUAUUUAUCUAUUAAUAUAGUAUAAUAUAUAUAUUUAGUUUAUAAAUAUAUAUUUAUCUAUUAUAUAUAUAUAUAUUUAUUUAUAAAUAUAUUAUAUUAUAUAUAUAUUAUAUAUAUAUAUAUAUAUUAGUAUAAUUUAUUUGUAAUAUAUAUUUGUUUACUAUCUUAUUAUAAUUUUAUUUAUAAAUAUAUAUUUAUUUUUAUAAGUUUUGUAUUUAUAAUAUAUAUUAUUAUAUAAUAAUUUAUUAUAUAAUUUACUAUUUAUUUUUUUAAAAUAUUUCUUUUCCCCCCUCUUUUCUUCUUUUUUUUUGAUAUUAUCUUUUUCUUUACCCUUUUUCCCCUUUUCCUCCCCUGUUCUAAAUUAUUUUUAUUUGUAUAAUUGCGGAUCAUGUACAAAAAAAAUAAAAAUUAAAUUUAAAAUUUAAAAUUUAAAUUUUUAUAUAAAUUUCCCGCAGCGUAGCGCGGGCCUUCACUAGUUCUAAUAAUUCCUGAGUACCUGUGAUGAGAAUGGGAUUAAAUGUUGAAUAGUUUCAACACAUAUUCGUGCAAAUUUAAUAAAAACAUACUAUUUUGAUGGACUUUUUUCAUUUUGUUUUUCAAAAGAUUGAUAUAGGAGGAAAUGAGUGUUAAUUUGGGAAAACUUCAAAUAUCCCUCAUGUGGUUUCGUAUUUUUUUAUUUUAGUACCAUGUGGUUUGAAGUGUAUCAAGUUAGUACUCUGUGAUUUCGCACUUUCUCACUUUAGUACCUUGUGGUUUAAAGUAUAUCAAGUUAGUACUCUGUGAUUUUAUUUUUGUAUCAAGUUAGUACCCUGAAGUUUUAUUUUUAUAUCAAGUUAAUAGUACCCUGUGAUUUUUAAACCACAAUGUACUAAAGUGAGAAAGUGCGCAACUACAGGGUACUAACUUGAUAUACUUUAAACUACAUGGUACUAAAGUGAAAAAGUGCAAACCCACAGGGUACUAACUUGAUAAAAGUGCAAACCCACAGGGUACUAACUUGAUACACUUUAAACCACAGGGNCCCACAGGGUACUAACUUGAUACACUUUAAACCACAGGGUACUAAAGUGAAAAAAAGUGAAACCACAAGGGGGAUUUUUGAAGUUUUUCCAAAAAUUUAUAUUAACAUUCUUAUUCAAGUGAAUAAUAAAUAUAGAAAUAUAUAAAAUUGAUAGAUGAGAUAAGGGAUAGAGAUUUAAUUUAUAUAUCAGGACUUAAUAUAAUAAAGUAGUUUUCGCAUUAACUCUCACACUAUACUAUCCAAAACUACCGCUCACGUGGAUGGACAAACCACCGGUCCAAAAUGUUCAAACCCACUUAUUAUUACUAGCGUGUGAGGCCAAUCUAAUGUGGGACUAUUGAGGCAUUAUAAACUCUCCUUGUUUAGACUAUGAUGUUCUUGUCGGGUCCAAACUAAAUCACAGAUGUAGACCAGAAUUACCAGGCGAUGUGAGAUUCUAGAGGUGGCUCCCGCCAAACCCGUUGGUGUAGCAUUUUGCCCCGUAUAGUACUUAGCUCUCACACUUUUGGCUGGUAUUCGGCUCUGCUACCAAUUAUAACGACCCAACCCGUUAGCAACAAUAACUCGUUAGGCCCAAUCCAUCGGCCGAAAAUGCUUAAAUUUUUUCAUCUGAUAUGGGACUACUGGGGCGUUACAAACUCCCCUGUUUAAAUCUUUACAUCUGAAGCAACCACCAGUGACCUGUCUGCAGUCCAAAUCCUUAUGUGAUCCGCCACAAACUAAACAUUUCGACUUCUGAUCCCGAUUUCAUGGUCCACCAUGAGGAGCUGGCGUAUUACGCGACCUCCCAGAGUCAUUAUAUCUGUUUGAUUCUCUUGCAUUCCGAUCCUUUUUUUGUGAAAGAAUUUUUAAUCUUCUUCUAAUUUGUAUUUUGCUCAUUCCGAGUUUGCCUCCAAACUGAAUCCAAGGAUUUCACUCUGGAAACGGCCUCCUCGUAUGUCUCUAGGUAUAGUAGUGCGAGACCAGUGUGAAUAUGUCCUUUCAGUCCUUCCUUGAAUCUCUUGGCUCGCAACUCAUCAUCAUCAACUAGUUUCGGGGCGAAGUGGGAUAGUCGGUCAAACUCAGUCUCAUAUUCCUCCACAGACAUCAAACCCUGCUUCAAAUCCAAAAAUUGCCUCCUAAGCUAGUGAAGCUUAUUUGAAAAAUACUUAGCAUAAAAUGCUGAUCGAAAAUCCUUUCACGAAAGAGGUGCUAAAUCAUUCUCGUAGGUUCUCAACUUGCUUUCCCACCAAUAGUUUGCAUUGCCUUGAAGCAUGAAUGCCCCGAUUCUAACUUUCUCCUCAUAGGUGCACUACAUAGCCAUAAAUGCCUUCUCCAUCUUUUUGAUCCAUGUUUUCACUUUGUUCGGAUUUGUAGUGCCUAAAAAAGGGUGGAGAAGCAGAUUUCUUAAACUCAUUGAUGCUCCUCUCUCAAACUCUGGAACUCGACUCAGCAGCACAAGGAGUGGGAUUUUGUUGCAAAUUCUGUUGCUGAGUUUGAACAAGCCCAACAAUAGCUUGUAUCAAGGUAGCGACCAGGGGAUCCAUCGUGGUGCUCUGCGGUAAAAUAGCGGAAUGGGCUGGCAUAGUGGUUUGUAAUAGAGGCAGAACAAAACUGGGAAGAGUAGUCGGCGGCAAAAACGGGAUAACAGUAGGAAUAAUUGUCGAAGGCAUCCCUGUACCAGUAGCCUACUGCAGAGGUGGAGCAAAAGCCAAAUGGUUUGUAUGAGGCACUACAGUCGAUUGCAACAAAUUCUGCAUAGUAACCGAAAUAGUAGUCUGAGGCGGAACCAUUGCUAAGGAUAUAGCAUUCAAAAGUGAGGCCAAUGUGGCAUUCAAAUCUGGAUCUUCGGAUUCGAUGGGAGGUGGGUUCCUCGGUAGUUCAUUGUUGGUAUUGCUAUGGUGGGACGGACGCACCAUCUCAGCAAAAGAAAGGAUCACAAACACAUAAAUACGGGAUGUUAAUGGAAACCAUAAAACAAUAAUAAAAGAAAUUCAAAUAUACGCUUACUUCUAUCCAUCAUCACACCUCCUAAUAAGCUCUCAAAGUCCUAUAUUUUAAAAGUUCCUUGAGAUCUUGAAUUCAAGAGGUGGCUCCCACCAAAUUUGUUGGUGUAGUACUUUGUCCCGCAUAGCAUUUAGCUCUUACACUUCUGGCUGGUAUUCAGCUCUGAUACCAAUUAUAACGACUCGACCUGCUAGCAAUAAUAACUCGUUAAGCUCAAACCAUCGACCCAAAAUGCUUAAGCCUAGUUAUUAUUACUAGCGUGGAGGUUUCAUAUAUUCUAAUUAGAAUCAUUUUUCCAUCCGAUGUGUGAUUAUUGGGACGUUAAAACUAAGCUCUUGAUUAACUUUGGUAUUAGAUAUAACCUGCCAAGUUAUGAUCAUGCAUCUUAUAUAUGGUCGAGAGAUGUUUCACAAAUAUAGCAUUUUGAAGAAUUUAAGUGCAUUCAUUCAUUCUCACAUGUAUACUUAUCCAUUUAUUUUUUAUUUUUUUUUCUUUGUUAUUUCACAGCAGAGAUCGUUUGUGUUGACGCGAAGUACUGUUAUCAUUUCAGCACCCAUGAUGAUACUUGUAUAGUCGGAAAAGGAUGCAGACAGGCAUGCAAAAAUGAAGGUUAUGAGUAUGGAAAGUGCCUUCUUUUUGUUGUUUGUCUUUGUUUUAGGAAGUGCUGAAGAAAUAAAAGUGAAUUCUCAGCUCAAACCAAUACAAUAAUGUUAUCACAAGCUGCGCAUGCAACGAUCUGAAUGAGUUGAGAUCAAAUAAAGGUCACCAAGUACUUAAUUAGCUAUGUUUUUCUUCAUUUGUUCUUUUGUGACAUUGGUCAUUGCGCUUGGAUAAUAAAUCAGUUGAAUAAUUUCUUAAUUUGUUGCGGGAUUGAAGUUUCAAUCAUACUUUUUGAAAUAUUUACUUUCAAAAAAAAAAGAAAAAGCUUUCUAGAAAAAUUGAACACAUAUAUAAGGGAAAUGUUAAUCAGUUCAUUUUCACCUUUCAAACUUUGUAAACAAAUGUUUAUCCUGUUAGCUUUUGAUUAACUGAGUUUAUCUAAAUAUCUAGAUCAACCAAGAAUGCUCUUUAAUUGACACCAUGUUUUAAGAUAGAUAUAAGUCCAUAUGCAAACAACAAAAACAAAUGCAAGUGAAAUUACAAAAAAUUGAAACUUAUGAGCCUAAGAUAUAUAUAAUUUUUCAGUAAAAACCAUAGGUAUCAAACUAGCAUGAAACAACUUCACUAUACGUGAUUAAUAAGUGUUCGUGAUUAAUAAGUGUGAAGAGUUGAUUAUACUCGACCAUAUGAUUAUAUAGAUAUUCGAAUCUUUUGACCACACGGCCUGAUUCUGAACACAUAACUCAAAUUUUCGUUUCAUCCUAUUAAAAUACCUGAGAUAUACGAGGAAUAUGGGAUGUGCAGUAAUUAACAUCCUAGAUUCUCACAUUAAUUGGAAAGGAAGGAUGUAGAUCGUUAAGAUCCGAGAGUGAUUAAAAUGAUUCCAUUGUAGAUUUUUGAGAGUAUACAUUUACAAGGAUUUGCGCUAGUACUGUUCUUGAGAUAGAAAUAGACUGUCAGGAAUGAGAAGCUCAAAAAUAACUUACUUAUUAGUCGGAAGAAGGAAGACAUGAGUGGUAUUUGUAGGCUAAACGCAAGUGCACAACACAAAUAGUUUGGAUGCUUGCUGGUGCACAAUUUAGCAUCCUUUUGAUGUGAUAAAGACUAAACAAGAGUAGGGAUGUCAACGACCCGAACACAAGCGAACUCGGUUAUAAGCGAGCCGAACACAAACUUGCUCGUUAAAGUAUCGAGCGAAAAAAUUCAGUUCAUGUUUGGCUCGCUUAAUUAUUAAUGAGCCGAAUACAAGCUAGCUUAUGAAUAAAAAUUUAAAAAAAUUAAAAAAUAUGUAUAUAGAAAAUAAAUUUAUAAGAUCUUACUCAUUAUACUUUGAUCUAAUGAUUGAAAUUUUACAUAUAAAUGAACUAUUUUAUAAUUGAGUUGGACUUUAUAUUUAGAUUGGACUAAAAAUCAAAUAAUAAAAAUAUUAUAUACAUAUAUAAUUAAUUAUUUAUAUAUAUAAAUAUAAAAUAUAUGUAUUCGAGUUGUUAUCGAGCCAAACACGAGCUGGCUCACGAACAGCGAGCUGAAUGGCCACCCUAAACACGAGUCAAGUUAAAAUUAAAGACACAGGUAUUGCAUAUAAAUAUAUACACUUUACACGUUGAUUCAUUUUCACGGAUUCAAACUUUUAUAAAUAGGCCCUAUUUGGUAACAGGAUAUAUUUGGAAUAAUAAAGCAUGUUAUUUUCCAAAUUUUGCCAAACAAACAAGAUUAAAAAUGACAGGAAUAAAUAAUUUCGAUAAUUCUAGCUUAAUCUAGAAUUACCUGUAAAGAAUAAUUCCUCUCAGCCUCUAGAAUAAUCAUAUUGUUGCACAAUUUAAUCCAGGGGGCAGCAAUUGGAAAUGAUGCCUCGCGCGUUCCACACAUGCACCCGACCCGCCUAGCCUCCCCGAAAAAGCUUCGUCUCUCUUCCUCCACUUUAUCUUCUUACCUCUAUCUCUAGCCUCCUUGAAGAGCUCUAUCUCCCUCUCCCUUUCUCUCAUCUUUACUUCGGACUCCUAAACCCUAAUAAUAAUUCUCCCGGCGGGAGAUCAGUGUUUUUUUUCUCCUCUUUAUUCUUCCUUUUUCCUUUGUCUUCACGCCUUACUCAGAACGCAGGGGUUUUUUUGCAAAUAGCCCCCUGACAAUUUUUUUUUUUUAAAUUGGCCCUGUGUAAAAAUUAUUUGCAAAAAUGGCCCUGGCCCCGCCCCGUCAGCGCCACAUCAGCGCCACGCGGGCGGGGCUGGGCCAAGUGUUUAAAUUGAACACGGUGAAUCAUUUACCGUGUUCAAUACAAAAUUUUUGUAUUGGACACGGUGAAUGGUUCACCGUGUCCAAUACAAAAUGAAUAAGUGGGAUAUAUUUGUAUUGGACACGGUGAAUCAUUCACCGUGUUCAAUACAAAAUUUUUGUAUUGGACACGGUGAAUGGUUCACCGUGUCCAAUACAAACACCCACAACUUAGCCAUUUUUGGCUAAGUCGGAUGUAUUUGUAUUGGACACGGUGAACCAUUCACCGUGUCCAAUACAAAAAUCUUGUAUUGAACACGGUGAAUGGUUCACCGUGUUCAACUUAUACAAUUGGCCCAUCCCCGCCCGCGUGGCGCUGACGUGGCGCUGACGGGGCGGGGCCAGGGCCAUUUUUGCAAAUAAUUUUUACACAAGACUAUUUUCGAAAAUAAAAUUUUUUAGGGGGCUAUUUGCAAAAAAAGCCCCCAAGAUAAUAAAGAUGCGUUCUGGGGUUAAUUGCAUCAUUGGCCCCCACCCUUUGCACCAUUUUCAAUGGAGUCCCCAACCUUUAUUUUUUUUAUUUUUUUUAUUUUUUACAAGUCUCUAAUCUCUUGAUUUCAUUAUAAUUAAGUUCCAACUGUUAGAUAUGUAUUAAAAUUGACAAAAAAUAUCACGUCAGCACCAUGUCAGCACCACGAAGGCGUCGUGUUAGCGUUACGGUGGAGCUGUGUAAGCAAAGUGCAAACAAAAAAAAGAUUGAGGAACAAAUUAAAAAUCGGUGCAAAGGUUGAGGACCAAUAGUGUAAUUAAAUUUAUAAAUUCAAAGCAAGAUUUUUAAUUUAAGUUUUAAAUUUUAAAUUUAAAUUUUGAUUUUGAAUUCAAAUUUAAAUUCGAAUUCAAAUUCUGAUUUUGCAUUUAAUUUUAAAUUUUAAAUUUUAAAUUCAAAUUCACAUUUCGAAUUCUAAAUUCUAAUUUAAUUUCAAACUUCGAUUUGAAAUUUCAAGUUCAAAAUAUGAAUUUGAAUUCGAAGUUUAAAUUCGAAU
rnacentral:lncRNA from 1 species